AAACACAAAGUACUAGCAGAAUUACGAAGAAUGUAGAGGGGAAUCACAGUACCAAGAAGAUCGGAAUGCGAAGUAUUUUGAGGGCGAGAGUGAUGUCGUAGAAAACUAGGGGACGGCCCUUGCCGGAUAAUUCGACCGGGUUUGCCACUAUAAGCUCCAUGUCGGGCCCUCGGCUCACGAUGGUCACGCGGAGUGGCCGGAACAGCUCCAUUCUCAAGCGAGAGCACAGCGCCUGUUGCUUGUUCGGGUCGACGAUUUUCUUACCAUCUACUUGCACUGCGAACAAGUCUAUCUCGCAGUUCCCAUUUUGACUGGUAUAGAAUCGUCCGUAAGAUAUCUGACAAAAAAAGAAAAAAGAAAAAAAAGAAAACCUGUAUCUGAAUUUGCCAAAAAUAAAAAAGAUAUCAGUAACUAAAUGGAUGAAAUGGCCAUGAUAAUCCUAUCUUUGUUUGGAUUUCACUUGGUACCUUCACUAUGGCCAAGUAAAUGUAUGUUCAUGCCGUGUGUAAUACGUGCUAAAUGUCUAUUUUGCAGGGUGUAUAUGCGAAAGAAAAUAAAAAUUCAUGUGAUGUCCUGUUUACCUGUAUGUUGUAAUCCUUGAGAGUCCUCAUGAUGUCGUAGAGGAUUCCCUUGUGGUCACCACACUGGAUCUGAAUAAGUGAAUGAGCGGGACUCAGAGAGUUGUCCAUCGUGACCGAUAUGUUCUUACACGUGGACGGAGACUCUUCCCUUCGGGAUUGUUCUUCAGGAAGCUCAAGUGAGAACAUCCGAUCAGUGAUCGACGGCGGUAAGGUAGAAGAAGCUUGAACGCAAGCAGACAUGUCUGCUCCGGCUUCUUCGAUCUCGCAACUCAUCAUCGAGCCCCCUAAAACAGUUCUCAGUUGAUUACAUGCCUCCUCCCUUUGGCUCUUCAUAUGAAGUUGCUCCCUGAAGCCAAUUUUGUAUUAUUAGCAUACGAUUAUCUAAGAGUUUGAUUAAUAAAUGGACUGUUGACACAGUACAGAGAAAUAAUUUUUCUACACUAAUCUUCGAUGUAGCAACUUAGCUGUUUAACACUUCUCCAAUGAAAUAACAAGGAAAAAGAAAUGGCAUUUAAUGUACGGCGGUUUAGAUUAACAGAACCAUGAGUUAUAUAAUCCUUAUUCUUAAAGUAAAUUCUAUAACCAUUAUUCAAUUGUUAGUGCAUCAGGGGGUCCUCAACCUUAAACAACAGUUUAAUUUUGGUACUCAACCUUUAAGUUGCUACAUUGUGGUUCCUCACCUUCAUAUAUCCUCUCACAAUCUUAGUACUUCAGGUAAAAUUUUCUCUUCAAAUGGAGGAGAUCUCCGCAAGAGCUAUAUGUAACUGCCCUAAGGCAACUUUCAUAUUCACAAAAAAGAUAAGGUAAUAAUAGAAUGCAAAAGGUUAAAAGGAUCAAAUCGCAGCAAUUUAAAGGUUGAAUAGCCAAUCUGAAACCACGCUAAGAGGUCGAGAUCCCCUAGUCCAAUUGAGGCAAAGAGAAAAAUGUUAUCCACAUGUAGAAAAACAGGACAAAAUUAAACAAGGAUAAUAUACGACCUCGUGUCUGUAAUGAAGAAGAGGUCGAGAACUCGCCCAUCCGGUGUGGUGGACACCUUCACCCUCCUGAUUGUCAGCUCAAGCUCACAUAAUACUUGGGUCACAUCUGUCCACAAGCAUAUAAUUCCUUAAAUAUCUUCUUAUUAUGUGACUUCUUCUUUCUCUUCAAAAGAGGCUAAAAAAAAAAAAAAAAAAAAAAAAAAUCGCAUUCGAAACCUAGCAAUAAUAUAGAAAGAGACCUUCAACAGAGGUAACCAAACUUUAGGAACUAGUCAACACUACAGAUCUUAAGAACCCAGUAACAUCCAAUUGAAAUUGUUGCUUCUCAAUCUGAAAUUUGCUAAUUUUGUUAGAUAUCAUAACAGAAAAAAAAACACCCCCCUCUAAACUAAAGAAAAGAAGUUGAUAUACUUUGUUUUCCCCAUUACAGUAUAUAUUCAAAACCCAUAAAGGGAUAAGCUCAAAUGCUCCAAAAUCCAACAACAAAAAAAGGACCCAAAAAAGAGAGAAACAAAAUCCUAAAGAGAAAGAUGGGAAAAAAAAGUAUAUCAACUUCUUUUCUUUANAAAAAAAAAUAGAGGAAAUUUACCAUGCAAGAGAUCCAAUCGAUCAUAGCAUGAGAACUUGAGGAGAAACACCUGUGGUUGUUGCACCAUGGACACCAUCUCCGGUUGCCUUGAGAAGUAGGUUUCUAUCACCAGGGGUGAGCUCACCACGGGGCAAACCCCCAUGAGCCUCUUCUUAAGCAAACCCCACCUCGUCUCCUUCCCUCCUCUCCCCACAACCCAGAACACUAUGAAACACCACUUCCCAUCCGUGCUCAUAUCUACACGAAAUAAAAGGGGGUGGGGGAAAAAAAAAAUCUAAUUUUUAGUGAGAAAAUUGAAACUUGUGGUAAGAUUAUUUAUCAAAGUUUCCAAUCACACCAAUCUUUUGAUAAUACGGUAUCAUCGCCAAUCCGCAACUAAAAGAUCGAUACGAUGAAAACGACUCUCACGUACUGUAUUAUCCAAAAUAAUCUGAUAAAAACAGUUUAAAAAAUAGCUUUUUUUGGGGUAACAAUUUGCAGGGAUUUCGAACUGGGCAUCACAUUUUAGACACAAAGAAGGAAAUUUUAACACAAAUUGGGGACAAAGACGCAAACUUUGACACCAAAAAUCACAUCAAAAAUCAAAAUUUUUAAUUCGGAGGGAAAAGGAGGGGGGGGAAAUGGGUUCACCUCCACGGACGAUGCUCAAUCCGAAGAGGAGGAUCACACGGCAGAGAUCGCAUCCGAGCCCCGUCUUAUCGGGGCAACUAACGGUGAUCACGCUGGGCUCCCCGUCCCUCUCCGGCUCCCUGAUCAGCACCACGUCGUCGCUCGGCAUACCCAUCUCAUCAAUCCCCUCUCUCCUCCUCCUCCUCCUCCUCCUCCUCCUCCUCUUACGGCUUUUGAAGCUGCUUCUGUGCGCAGCGCUUUUGGGUUUCGCCCCCUGUUUUGUUUUGACGCGUUUCUCUCUCUCUCUCUCUCUCACUCUCUCUCCUCCUAUGGGGUGGGAGAGGAGGCUUUUGAUUCUAGUGGUGGGAUUUGGCGUGAGAUUCGAAUAUAUCCAUUAAAGAGCUCGGAGAAAACUAUGGAUCGAGAGAGAGAGAGAUAGAGAGAGAGAUGGGGAGGGGAAUCAGGGGAAGGUGCCGCAUAGAGAUCUCUCUGCGUUCGCUUUUGUCCUUAGCUGUUGUUUUCUAUCCGCUGUUUGCUAUACUCACCCCGGAUUUUUUUUUUUUUUUUUUGCUAAUUUCAUACAAGUCCUGCAAACAUAAUAAAUUACAAAUAUAUUCAUAUAAAGUUUAAUUUUUAUAUGUUAUUCCUAUAAAAAUUCUGAUGUUUUCAAAUAUAUCCCUUUGGUUUGUUACUGUUAGAAAACUAUUAGAAACUGUUUAUAUUUUCAAUUUUAUCAUUAUAAAUAUAUUUAUUCAAAAGUUAUAACAGUAUAAUAUAAAAAAAUAAAAUGUCAAAAUAAACCAGCAUUAAUACUUAAUCUAUAGUUAACUAAAUUUUUCUAAUGAAUUCUAACGGCAAUGACAUAUUUGAAAACAUCAAAACUUUUGUAGAGACAACAUAUGAAAGUUGAACUUUAUAGAAAUAUAUUUGUCAUUCACUAUAUUUGCAGGAACUUGUAUAAAAUUAACCUUUUUUUAAAAAAAAUUUCGCUUCUUCUUCUCAAUGUGCCAUUUAACUUUUGUCUCAACUAACUUAUUAGUAUAUAAAUUUUCCACUAAUUUUAAUUUUAUAUUCUAUCGCUAUCUUGAAUAAUUUUAAAAUAUCAAAAUGAGAACUAAAAAUUAAUGUGAAAUCUUACAAAAAUAGGAUCAAUAAACUAUCAAUUUAGAUAGUUCUAAUAAGAAAUACAAGUUUUUUAUUUUAUUUUCAAUUUAUUGUGUAAUUUAGGACUAUGAAAAAUGCUUUUAUAUAGAACUAGCAUAACAUUUCAAACUUAUCCAUAUGAAUUUUCAAGUGAAUUCAAUAAUUAUUCUUAAAUUUUGUAUUAUAUUAAAAUAGAGCAGAAUAAAAAUUGAUAUAAUUUUUUAUGCAAGAUAUAAUUUAUACACAGAUUAAUAUACGAAAGAAAUUUUUGAAAUCAUGAACUAUAAGUCACAAUCAAAUGUUACAGCAAAAAAAUCUUUUUUAUCUAGAGAUUGCUUUUGAAAUUUUGAAGGACUUUAGCGUUUGACUAAAAGAGUAGAAAUAUAAAAUAAUAACAGUAAAAGGAACUUAUCAAUAUUGAUAGAACAAUUCUAUUUUAUUUAUAAUUUAUGAGUUUUUGUUAUAUUGACUAUUAGUACAAAAUGUAUAAGAUAUAUUUUUAUAAAAAAGAGUACCAAUCAUAAGUUCUUUAAAAUAAGUACUUAUAUGGAAACAUCUAAAUAGGCGAUGGAUUUAAAUAAUUUCGCCACCCCAUGAAUUGCUUUGUUAGCCUUAUUUAAUAAGCUUAUUUGUAAGGAGAGAUUUGCAUUUAAAUAAUAAUUUGUACAUCAAUAAGAAGUUAAAAUCGAUAAAUAAAAGAUUACAUAGAAAAUUAUAAUAAAUUGAAGCUUAGCUUAACAAUAAAAUAAACUAGAUAGUACUCUCAACAAAUAUUGCCAAAAAAUACAAGUUUAUUUUUUUAAGAAUUAGGAGUUGGGCCUCUAAAACCAAUUUUAUGUGAAAACUUUUGUCUCUCUCCAUCCCCACUCGUGUUUUUACUAGCAAAAAUUUCAAUUACAAAUAGUAAAUGAAAACAAAAAAAUUGAAAGAAAUAAAAUUUUGCCAUAUAACAAAACACUAUUUGAUCAUCAAAUUUUCCUCAACUUUUCAUUUUUUUUAUCUUCCAUUCUUUUAAUUUUUAAAAAUCCAUCAAAUCAAUAAAAAUUAUUAUAUAGUAAGAUUUUACGCCGAAAUAAUAAAUAUUAAUUGGUGCUGAUGCAAUAAUUUAUAUUGGAAUUAACAAAUCUUUUAACAUUAAAAACUAAAUUAAAAUAAAUAAUAAAUAUAAAAAUUUUAUUAUUUAAAAAAUUAAAAAUUGAAACGAAAUUAAGAAAAAUGGAUUAAAGAUUAAUUAAUUAAUUAACUCAUCACACAGUGGAAAAAAAAAGGGAAAUUUUGGUGGGUAAGAAUAUCAUACUUGUUUAGAAAAUUAAAUACAAAGAGUAAGUGCUUCUAGAAGAGUUGGCACGUGACAGGUUGGCCCUUGACCACUUUUAGCUAAUCCCAAAAGCGCCAAUCCAACGAACUCCAAAUCGAACGGCUCUGAUUUCGUUUAGAGCACUAAGCGAGCGGUCCUGAUUAGUUCAUCAAUCGAGAGUCCACGUGGCGCGUAUCCGUGAUGUCCCAUUUGCGAGGUGAUUCGGAUCGAAGACCACUCCGACAUGUCGCUAUCAUUAAUUAUUACAUGCCCCCCUCAACUAUUUCACGUUCUGAAAAUGCGCCUUCAACUUUAUUUUUUUAAUUCGAAAAUAUACUUUUAAUUUUUUGAAUCAAAACAAUUAAUAAAUGAUAGCUAAUAAAGGUGAUGAAGAAAAUAAAAGUUUCGACUUAAUUAAUUAAAAUAAUUUAAUUUUAAAACUCACAGUUUGAACUUGCCUAUAAAAAAGGGUAAAUUUUAUUUCUAGUCUUUGGUCUUUAUUUUAUUUUAAUUUAUACAUUUUGAGGAUAUUUUAUGUUAAUCUUUAUUAUAAAGUAAAAAUUGCUUAUGGCAUCUCAUUUAUUGGUAUGUUUCAUGCACUUCAAAAUUUAUAAUUUUUUAAAUCUAUUAUAUAGUUUCACUUUAAUAGUAUAUUUUAUAUAUAGAGAGAGAGAAAAAAAAUUAUAAUUUAUUAGAUUGUAGAUUAAAAAUUAAAAGUCAAAAAAAUGUAUGUCGUAAAGAUAUACAGAUGCAGCCGGUGUAGAACUUGAAGUAAAAUUCUUUUUAAAAGUUUGGAGACGCAACAAUGUCAGAUUUUGAAAGUUUGAGGAUCUGAAACAAAACGUUAAGGGGGCUAUUUUAGAAUAGCAUAUGCUUGAGGGAUCUCAAUGCAUGUUUACCGUACUACAUCACGUAGAGGGCGUCAUCGCGCGCCACGUGUUUAUUUCGUCAUGGGCGCUCUUUUAUGUCCGAGCCGACCAGCUCCUAAUCACAUGCUACACUUUUCAUGUAUUUUAUUAUUAUUACUUGUUAUCAAUAAAGUUUCACUAAUCCAUUAUUAACUAUAUAAUAUUAUUUUAGUGCAUUAUUAACUCAGGUUUAUCCAGUGAAUAAUUACCUGAGGACUCGUGGUCAUUCUAAAACUUAAGUAGAACAGUAAAUAUAUAAAUUUUUGUUGGUAUUCGGUAGUUUUUAUUUAUAUGAUUUAGAUAUCUGGUAUUACUAUAUUAAUUUUUAUAUAAAAGAACUUUUCACCGGAUUCGCCGAAAUUUGAGCUUACCUUCAUAGUUUGAAUCUCAUUUUAAUUGGAUUUCCAUCGAAACUUAAUAGGCCGGAUUUAAUAAUUCUGAUAAUUAUUAUAUAUUUUAUAAGAAUCAGAUUUCAGUUCUUAUUUUAUUCUGUAAUAAAAAAAGACCUAAUUCAUUUAUGACUUCAUCAAGUUCUGAGUCAUGAACCAACUCACUUCAAAGUAAACAUCUCUCCCUCUUCAUGAUUGAUUGCUCUUCUUUCAUAACCAAAACUCUUAUAUCCAAAUUCUAAAUAUAACAUUUGUUUAUUCCAAUUUUUAUUUUAAUAAUAAAUUAAAUAUUUUUAAAUGAUUCGUCGUUUUACUUUUUUCAUUCUAAUAUAAUUUAAUUUAACUUUUUAUUUUCAUUCUAAUCAUGAAUCGGACGUGUUCUUAAAUUCUUCGGAAAAAAAAAGAAAAAAAAAAAAGCUACUUUCAUGUGAAUGCAUGUGGCUACGUUCUAUUCUUACUAAAUUAGCCGAAUAAAUAAUGAGCAAGAUCCCAAUAUUUAGCCGACCAAAACAAUUUAAUUAAAUGUUGAAUCUCUAGAGUGUUGUAGCUAGGAUCUCUAUCAACCUAAGACAAUUGGGGGUUUUUUUUUUUAAUUGUAUCAUAAUUAGACAAAUCAGAAGAAUUUUCAACCUAAUGCAAGUUGGUGAUGGCAACUAACCCAAAUGGCCAAAGAUUGGGACAGGAGGCCUCCCAGUACUAGUGAUCCAUAAAUGUUACUGUCCUGCCAUCUUCUAUUGUCCAAAACUAAAGCUUCAAAAAAAAAAAAAAAAAAAAAAAAAAAAAAAAAAAAAAAAAAAAAAAAUCCUUCUAUGCUUGCUCUCAAAGAUUUUCUCCAAUAUUAUUAUUGUGUCAAUAGUCACAUGCGACAUACAUCCAAAUUAGCUGAUCAACUAUAUGUACACUUUGAUUUAAAUAUCACCAGUUCAUGAAUGAUACUUUCAGAAUCACAUAAAAAAAUAUGAAAAGGCUUAUUCUAAUACAUGAACAACUUAAUAAGUAAUACAUAUUUUUGUGCACUUAAAGAGUCUCAUAGGGAUAUAACAUAAGUAUUCUCUAAAUUAUUUUUUUCAAAAUAAAAUAAAUUAUUUUAUAUGUGAAAUGUAUUAUUUUAAAAAAUUUAUGACUGCGGAAGCUUCACAAUGGACUAAAAGUAAACUCCCAAAUUACAAUUUCAAAAAGAAUAAACUUUCCUGCCGCAAAAGUUAUUUUAUAUUAGAUAACUUAUCUAACGCCAAACUGGCUAAAAAUAUUUUUCGACUUGUAUUUGUGCAAAAGAAAUGCUUUGGAUCCGCUAGAAUUAAUGUCGAUCUUAUAAACUACAGAUAUGUUGACAAACGCAUAAAGCAUCUUUUUUGGAAAAACAUGUAUACAUACAUUUCUUUUGAAUAAGUUCAUAGAUUUCAAGUGGCAAAAAAAUUUGGUAGUUGAUAUUCGAAACUCAAGUUUUAAUCCUAAUUGAUUCACAUUUUCAGCUAAGUUUAUUUCUAAUAAAAAUAAACGAAGCGAAUAGUAUGCUACCUUUCUCUCUCUCAAAAAAAAAAAGAAAAAGUUCAUAGACUCCAAGAGCCAAAAAAUCACCCUAUACACAUAUAUAAAAAUUAUUUUUCUUCAAUCGUCUUACGACCCUAUUUAUAAAUUCACGGGCGGAGAUCGUUUCCCAAUAUCUUGGAUCAGUGUCUGUGGUAACAAUUACUAGGCUAGUCGGCAAUUCUUUAGUUUAACUUAUAAGAGCAAUUACUAGGUUAGUCAACAACAUAUCGUACUUAGCGCAAGUGGCAAAGAGCUGGUGUUUGGUACCCGAGGUUCUAAGUUCGAAUCUUAAUUGAUUCACAUUUUCAACUAAGUUUAUUUCUAAAAUAAAAUAAGUGAAGCGGGUAGCAUGCUAUCAAUCUCUCAAAAUAAAAACUUAUAAGAGCAAUAUUUUAGAAAGACCGGUCAAUAAUUAAAGCACUCAGCAAGAAGAAGAGUUGCAUUGUGACAUUAGGAAUUAUUUGGAAGCAGAAAGCUAGAAAACAAAAAUUUUAUGGGUUUUACAAACUCAAUUUUAUCUCUUAGGCCAUAUUUGGAUGGAUAGUUAAAAAACUCCAUGAAAUUUUUAUUCUAUGAUUUUGGUUUAAAUGAAAUACGGAAUCCUAUAACUAUAAAAAAAUUCCACAGCUUCAUUUUUAAGCUUUUUGGAUACAUAUCAUAUAAUUCCACAGUAUUUAUAACAAUUUAAUUUCUAAAAUUUUAAAAUUUUAAAAUUCAAAAUUCAAAAUUCAAAAUUUAAAAUUUAAAAAUAAAAUUUAAAAAAUUAAAAUUCAAAAUUCAAAAUAUAAAAUUAAAAUUUAAAAUUUAAAAUUAAAAAAUUAAAUUAGAUUUUAUGUUUUAAAUUUGAAAUUUGAAAUUUGGAAUUUGAAAUUUCAAAUUUGAAAUUUGAAACUUUAAAAUUUAAAAUUUAAAGUAUACCAUUUAAACUUUAAAUUUUGAAAUUUAAAAAAUAUAUAAUUAAAAUUUUAAAUUUUAAAUUUAAUAAUUUAUAAAUUUACAUAUUUAUAAAUUUAAAAUUUAAAAUUUAAAAUUUAAGUUUAAAUUUAAAUUUUGAAAAUUAAAAAUUAAAAAUUAAAAUUAAAAUUAAAAUUUGAAAUUUGAAAUUUGAAAUUUGAACUUUUUGAAAUUUGAAAUUUGAAAGUUGAAAUUUGAAAGUUGAAAUUCGAAAUUCGAAAUUCGAAAUUCGAACUUUUCGAAAUUCGAAAUUUGAAAUUUGAAAUUCAAAAUUUGAAAUUUGAAAUUUAAAAUUUGAAAUUUGAACUUUUUAAAAUUUGAAAUUUAAAAUUUAAAAUUUAAAAUCAAAAUUAAAAUUAAAUUUUAAAAUUUUUAAAAUUUGAAAUUUAAAAUUUUAUGUUAAAAUUUAAAAUUUAAAAAUUGAUACAUCUUUAGGAGCCCAAAAGGUGGAUAUUUUUUUUUUUUGGUUAAAGUGGGUUGUAAGUUUAUUCUAUUUUUUGGAGUAUAGUAUAAUUAUACUCGUCAUUUUUUUUCUUCCAAACGCUUUAUAGGAUUAUUUUCCUACCGGCGUAACAUAGUUUAACUGUACUAUAUUUUUAAAGGUAUCCAAACGGGGCCUUAUUCUUAAAAAUGAAAAGGCGGAUCUUCGUAUAUUUAUAUGCGGGAGUUCGAAUAAUCUUACGAUUUCAGUAUCAAAGCAACUGUUGAUGCCCAGGAUCUUGUCGAUUUCACGAAUUGACCCCUUAGAUCCAAAAACACAAACAGACCCUACACAGUAAAUAAGACUAACUAAUUAUACGAUCUUACUAAUCUUAAUCCUUGGGAAUCUAAUCUAAUAAUAGUCUUUGGGUCAAUUUGUCUCCCAACGAUGUUCGCGCGGAUCUGCUGCAGAUCUUGGAGACAGGCACGUGCGAGGACGGCUGGGCGAGGAUUGUUACGUGUCCCUCCCCUCAAUCCUAUCCAUAUAUUUUGGUAUAAAAUAAUUAGAUGUUUAAUAAUAUCCAUUGUACCUAGAUUGCGAUGUGAAUAUUCUACGGCCCCUAUUUAUAGGCCCUAACACAUAUUCAAAGUUUUUUUAAAAAAACAAAUGUGUCGGUAGCGAACACGGGAAUAGAUUCUCUCAUGUUGAAGUACACAAUCCAAGCGCAACUUUUUUAUUCAGAGGAACUAAUUUAGAUCAAGAAAUUGAGUUAAACUAAGGCUUGGUUCUGGAAAUAUUGGCUCCAGGAAAAGUUUAGCUCUAGAUCAAUUUUAAUAGUUGUGGCAAUUGAAGAUCGAACUCUCAAUUUUGCAAAAUAAUAAAAGAAAUUAGAAAUAAUUCUAGUAUAAUUCUAGUAUAAUUCUGAUAUCAUAUUAUCAUUGAUGGUCUCUAAUACAAGUGAUAAAGAAUAUGAUAAUUGAUACACGAGGUUUCUAGUUCACAGCCUAAUUAUUUUUUAUUUUCAGCUAAGUCUAUUUAUUUUUUUUAAAAAAAUAAAACGGAUAGCAUGCUAACUUUUUCUAAAAAUAUAUAAUAUCAUGUUUUUUAAAACAUUAAUUUAGUAAAAAGCAAUAGAAAAAUAUAAAUGUUUACUAAUUACGUCGCAAAAUAGUGGAAAUUAGAGGAAGAGUAUACAUGAACAAAUGGGAGAAGCCCCUGCAGAUUUUAAAUCCUUUCAAUUUUACUUAAUUAGAUUCAUAAUUUAAGGGAAUUUUGAUUUGUCCGUAAUAAAAAAAAUGCUGUACAUAUAUAUAUAUAUAUAGAAGAAGUGAAUUCACCAUAAUUAAUACUAAUAAUAAUGGAUAAAGCAUAAUGAAAAAUUAAAGGAUUACGUUGUCGACGUACACCAAUCAAAUUAAGCGUUACUUAAGUAGCAAAUUACCCCCCAUUUACCCCGUUGUUUAACACCGAUCGACAAUGGUACAAGAUCGGAAAGAGAAAGGAAACUUCGUGCACGAUGAAAACGAAAGAAGAGAAGAGAAAAGCACUUCCUAAAAAGCACUUCUAAUUAAUUAGAUUUAAUUAAGAAGAAUGGUAGUGAACAUUGUUUUCGGUUGGUGUUAGUAUUUUAAUUUAGCCAUUUGGACUUUAAAGGCAAGCAAAGCUUAUUUAGGAUGUAGCUUUAGCUUUUUUAGGUUUUGCUUUGGCUUCAGCUUUUCGCAUAAGUUAAGCAGUUUGAGUGGAAGUAGGGACAUGGUGUGGACUCUCCUCGUUGGUGGUCAUAUGGUGCAACACUCAUGUGAUUGAUGUUGAUGGAAACAUUAAGCUCGAGUGGAUAGGUUUCACUUCACUAGUGAGACAAAUGUUUUAUAAAAUAUAUAUAUAUAAAAUAAUCUGAAAUAACCAUCACUGUGUAGCAUUGAGGAGUUAAUUAUCUACGGUGCAAUUUUUAAGAUCAGCAGAUUCAAAUCUCUGCAUGUGCGUUAUGAUUCCUGAGAAUCUUAAGAAUUAGGAGCCUACGCACAACUUUUAAUACUGUUUACGUUUUCUUCUUUAGAGGGCACAGAGAAUUUGGGUUCUAAACAUUUCAUGAGUAUCAUAUGCCAAGCCCAAGGCCAAUUUGUUGGGCUUGUUUCGUAGGUUUGGAUUCUCACACUGAACAAGGCUCGGCCCGAUCCAACUACGCUUCUCGCAAUAAUUAAAUUGAUUUUUGAGUUCGGUGAACUCAAAUGAAUUAGAUUUGGAAUUAAAUUUUGUUAUUAGGAACAAAAUUGUGAUGGGAUUGAAUUUCUCUCUAUAGUAAGCACGAAAAUAAAACGAUUGAUCUUUCUUAUCUUUGGGAAACUAAACAAGAGUCAUUAUUUAUACAUUUUUUCUGUCAGUAAAAGCGAUUACAGGGUACAAAUUAAUUAAUAAGUACCAAAUCAAAUAAAAUGAAAAAAAGAAAAAAAAAUCUGAAUUAAGUGGCUCGAGUGUUGCCAAUUUUACGUCAGGUACGUAGAAUGAAUGCCAUGCAUGAUGCAUGCAUGUAAGUUGUAACGAAACCCAUAUUAAUUCGUUAGCUUUAUGAUUCUCAUUAAUUUAUGCAUGGACAAAUUAUUAUUAUUAUUAUUAUUAUUAUUAUUAUUAUUAUUAUCAUCAUCAUCAAAAUAAAAAAAAAAAAGGACACCAUGCAGAAAACUUUAAUCCGCUUCCACAGGGCGAUCCUACAAUCUCUCUCCACCCCUCUUAUCUCGUAUAAAAAAUGAAGCUCCUCAUAUUUCCGUUUCCUUUCUCUCUUCUUAUUUUCUCUCUCAACCUUAAAUCUUCGCGUACAACUAUAUAAACAUAAAAAAAUAAUAAUAUAUUAAUAUUAUAGUAUAGAAAGGGGCCGGGGUUGAAGAUGGCGGGGGCGGCGGAGUUGUCGGCGGAGGUGAUGGAGAGGAUCUUCAAGCGGUUCGACGGGAACGGGGACGGAAAGAUAUCGUUGGCGGAGUUGGGGGAGGCGCUGAGCGCUCUGGGGUCGACGUCGGCCGACGAGAUCCAGCACAUGAUGGCCGAGAUCGACACCGACGGUGACGGAUACAUCGAUUUCGCCGAGUUCACCGCAUUUUGCCGCGCCAACUCCGGCCUCAUGAAGGACGUCGCCAAGGUCUUCUAAGCCUCUCCUUGAAUAGUGUGUCGUACGUUGCACCACAAAUUGUUACAUCUAUAUAUAAUUUUUUUUCAAAUUUUUUAUCUUAUUUUCUCUGCAUUUUUAAAAAAAAUGGUUGAAGAGAGUAACAUGAAUUGAAGGAACUAGUCAUAAACGUUAGAGUGAUGUGGAAAGUAUUCAGAGAUUCACCUUUUAUUAUUUGUUAUUAAUUAUUAAUUAUUAACUGUAUAAGUGACAAAAAUUGAUGUGAAAACAGAAAUAUAUAUUUGUCUUAUUUUAUAAUUUUAUUUACGUGGUAUGAAAUGUUGGGCCUGCCCAUGUCCAACCCGAAUUUGGUGGACUAAGCGGGCCCAACAUUUUCGUUCCGGAUCCGGGCAAAAUUGAUCCAUUAAUCCGUUUUGUAUUUGGGCUUUAUCCAAUUUGGGUUUAUUGGGUCAGAAAUACAGACAAUUUUAUAAGAAUAAAAUGAAUAUUUAAUUAGUUUCGAAAAUCUACUCUUCAUAGUUAUAUAUAUUUGGUUAUUAAACAAUAAUGUUUUUAUCACCACUGUCUAUUGCGGUUGGUCGGGACCCUGGGUCAUCGAUCAAGCAUUUGGGUUCGAUUUAAAAUCUUUAAGUAAGGUAUUAAUAUAUUCUCGAUUAAUUUUUGUAGAUUUUUUCAUCUCUCAAACAAUCUUAUCAACUGCAAAGGAAAAGAUAUAUUCAUAUAAACCAGCAGGUGCAAUAAUAUUUAAGCAUAUGCAUGACAAUUAAUAAUUUCCUCAUUCCAGUGAAUCAGAUUCAAAGGGAGCCACCACAAGGCCAUAACCCCAAAUGGGUACGGGUCCAUAUAUUGCUGGAUCCCAACUUGACUAAACAAGCCCUUGCCACAAAAUGGUCCUGUUAAAAUGUUACCCACCAAGGGGUUGGUAUCAUUCUCCCAGUUGAACACUUUGGAGAGAGAGAUCUUUGAUGAGGACCAACAAGGAAUCUUAGCUUGAGAUGGGACUUUAACCCCAACAAGUGGAAUCAAAACUUAUUGCCCAAAUCUGGUGUACAUGUACAAAGUAUAUUUCAUGCACCACACCCUUAAUUAAGAUCCUAUACUAAAUGCCUCAAGAAUCAAACUUAUAAUCUAGUUCAUUGAAUCGUAUUGUUGGUCAUUGUAGAUAUUUUAGAUCACAUCUAUGAGAUUAAAUUACAAAUUAUCCGUGGUGCACGCACCAAAUGUAAGCAAUAAUUUCUCCAUGUAGAUAGAUUCUAGAUGCAAUAUGAUCUUUCCUCUCUCUCUCUCUCUCUCUCUCUCUCUUUCUCAUCAAUCCCCUCUAUUGCGAUAUACCAACUUUUUCUAUCACUUGGUGAGUUGGUGGUGGGGAGAAAUGGAUGGAUAUCAUGUGUAGCAUAUAUAUCCCUUUGCGGGACAAAAAUAAAGGUCGAAGCACUACAGUGGCUUUUGUGAUCAAGUGUGUGGUCACUUUAAUUGCUACGACCUUUGACCCUUGGGCUUAUGAUUUGAAGGCGUUUGGACGCACGAGGGGAACGUAACUUGGUUGGGUUCAAUUAAUGGGCGUGGAAAAGGAAUGGUCCAAGGAAUCGUAGUUGGUUUGUUAUACGUAACUUGGACUAUUUCGUAGUGUUGUCUCCUGAAGAGUGAUGUGAAUGGAAGCAACUUGAGCAUCGGUUGGUUAUGUAUUUCUAUGAGAUUAUGGUAGUUUCUUUCUCUCAAUUAUUCGUAUGGUAUACGUGCUCUAAAAGGUUAGGAUGGAGCGCGCACGAUGGAGCCACGAGAGGGAUUGUUGCUUAAUCUAACAAAAAAUUAUGAUAUGACAAGGGUAAGGUUUCACGUGAAAAGUUUAAAUUCAGUCCCUUGUUUGAUUUGGACAUCACAUUAUCAAAGUAUCACGCGGAAUCCCAUUACCUGAUGCUUUCUUCAGAUACAUGAAGUUUUGGGCUACCGUAAGACAAUUUUUUUUUUAAUUCUUCAUUCAAAAAAAGCAGAAAAAAGAAGAAGUCCCAACCAAGGGAUUAGUCUCAUAGUGAUGAGCUGCGUCGUUACCGGAUUUCUCUUUUUAGCAACUUAAUGGAGACAGCGCGCCAACCACUACAUAAAUAUAGCAUGGUAAUAGAUAUUCGAAUAGCGGAUCUUGAUGUCAUGAGUCUAAGCCACUACAUGUGCUUCUCAUUAGAGACUCUGUGUCCUUGACUUCAGAAUCUAAAUAUAUGGACUCUUAAUUAGGAUAGAGUUGCAACUGCAAGUAUAUAUAUAUAUAUAUAGUUUGGUUACUAUACUCUUAUGAGUAUAAAUCAAUUUGUACUCAUAAUUUUUCGAUCGUUAGAUCUACUCUUUUGAUUAUUUCUACUUGUUAGAUUAUACUAUUCAACCAACUACCCACUCAAUUCUAGACAAUUACUAUCAUCCUAACCGCACGUCCCUUCAUCCAACAAUUAAAAAUUUAUGAGUACAAAAAAGUCUAUAUACUUAUAAAGUAUAGUAACCCUAGUCUAUAUAUAACUUUUUACUUCAAUUUUGAGUGAUAGAACGGAUCUUAAGUACUUCUUUCUUCCUGCAACCAGUUGAUCAACCUGUUCAACAGGUUAUAAUUAAUUUGUGCAUGUUUGUUUAGUAUCAGGCCCUAAGAUAAAUAAGGCCAAACUUGCUUCACGGCGGGUUCAUCUGUUUGAUUGGCUAGUCCACUACAAUCAAUUCAGCUUAAAAUUACAAAUUGUAUAUUACUUUACAUUUUUUUUGGAGAAAGAAAGAUAACAUGUUACCCGCUUCGUCUAUUUUUUAAAAAUAAAUUUAGUUAAAAAUAUAAAUCAAGUAGAAUUCGAACUUAGAAUCUCAGAUACCAACUACCAAACUCUUUGUAACUUAUUUUUUUUUUAUAUUUAUCCAUUUGUACACCCAACGGAAGCGUAUAUACACAUAUGUAUGUAUGUUUAUAUGUAUGUACAAUGUACAGCAUGGCGCGCGGUGAUAUAUUUUAGAUGUAAACUAACAAGAAUCAUCGAAUAUUGUGAUCAGUACACGAUAGCUAAAUACUGAUCAUAUAGUAGCAUCAUCACCCAUGCAUCCUUUAGACCUUGAAGUGAGAGGCGCAGUACAUUGACGCGGCAACCACUGUCCCCUUCUAAGCCGAUGCAAUAAUAAAUGGCCAAAAUGAGCUGGUCGAUUGAUCGUAGAGUACCGAGCAAACACGCAUGGUUUGUGUACGUUCGCACUUAAUUUGCUGCGUUGUUUUGGAGCCACAUAUAUAUAUAUAUAUACACACACGCGCGCGCAGAUACGCCCAAGAGCACGAGACGUGCCUUUAACAUUUUCUGCAAUUACCGACUGUCUCUAACGCAAGAGAUCAUAAAAGACUUAAUAAUUAAUAACAGGUUGAGAUUUCAAAUUUAAAUUUUAAUUAAUUUAUUUUUUAAAAAAUAAAUUAAAUAAAUAAUAUGUUAUUUUUCUGUCUCAAAAAGAGAACCGAACAUUUCGGGAGAUUUAGUUUCCCACCGGGCUCAAACUGAGAGAGAGAGAGAGAGAGAGAGAGAGAGAGAGGAACAUGCACUGCUGUUGCUUUUUCAUGGAUGCAUGCGAGUAUGCGACACCCCCAUCGAACCUCCCUCUCCUCGGGAUCAAGCAUGCCGUGAGGGGACAGGGAUGAGGUCGCAUGCGGAGAUUUCAUGCACACCUGCCUACACCUUGUUCACCACUUCAUCCAAGAGUUUCACUCAAAUCACAAAAUAUUUGAGUGUAAAUUUUUGAGCCAUAUAAUAAUAAAGUAAAAAUAAGCCCGGAGGUAAAACUUCUUCUUGUAAUUAUUAUGGUUUAGAAUCUCAUUCUUUUGAUUUUCGUUGCAACAUAAGCUUCGAUUUUUCCCUCACCAAAUACUAGUGUUCAAAGAGGAUAGAAUUAGACGCACGACGAAAUAUGCAUACCCUCGGUAUCUUUUAGAUGCUACAGAUUAUAAGCAUCGGAUGAUUAAAAAUUUACAAGUUUUACGAUCUCCAUGAAAGAGUUUUGGAAAGAACAAUCUGCAGUGGACUAGGUGCAGGCAAUAGUUUCUUAGAAGAAUAAAAAGGGAGGGGUGAGAGAAGAAUCUGUUCUUGGCCUUGGCUGAAGAGCCGGCCAAGCAGAAAAGUGACCAAGGGAUCUACAGCCUGCAUCCUCUUUUCCCCACAUUGAGAUCUGCAUUUACAGCUACUUAAUUGUAUGGUAUCCUCUUAACAUAUGGUUGUUGACAAAAAAAAAUUUCUUCUUCUUUUUCACUUGGAUGUUUUGUAUAAAUUCGGCUACUUAAAUUUACUAGUAAAUUAGAACAGCCAAUAUACUCUUCAUAAAUAUAGAAAUUUUUGUUUUUUUUUUUUUAUAAAAUAAAUGCAUUGAAUCUGAUCGAUUCAUCGAAUCUAUACCUAAUCGAUCUAUGUGUAACAAUAUUUUUCUGUAAAUAACACAUAUUGGCUCUUAAGAACUAUGUAUUUGCACUCAAAUCGCCUCUUCAUCACUUCUACGUCACAAGGCAUUAUGAGAAUUUUGAUGUUAAGUUAUUGGGGGGAUUAAUCAAGCAUUAAAACCUCAACUUUAUUUCUUUCUCAAUCUUUUUAUUCUUUGAUUUCCAUAAUGAUGCAAGUGACGGAUCUUAUUGAUUCAAUAUUUGAUCCUUCGUUUUGGAGAAAUAUAUAUAUAUCUUUUUAGCUCCUCAUGGUAACAGUAUGAGGAACAUUCACGGCAUAAAGAAAAGCUAUAUACAUCCACAGAUAUUAAAAAAAAGGGGCAAUUGCCUAUAUACCCUUGAAAAGUUUCCGGUUUUUUUAUUUAUCCCUCUUAGAAGGCUAAUAUUGAAAAUACCCUUCUUAUGUUCCAAGUCUUUCUAAUAUACCCCUGGAGUUAAGUUCCGUCAGUUAGCUGCUGUUAUCUCUGAAAAAUUACCAUUUUGCCCAUUCCAAUAUACCCUCGUACCGUAACUCACUUAUCUUAUAUACCCUUCAUAUACAAAAUAUUUUUCUUAUUUGCUCUUUAAAUAUCAAUUAAUUAAUUAAGCACGUUGGGAGCGAGCAAAUGAACGGAUGAGAUUGAUCGCAGCUAAACCAAUCUUAGUGGCGCGAGCAAAUGAACGGAUGAGAUCGAUCGCAGCUAAACCAAUCUUAGUGGCUGGAGGCAUAGUUAGUUAAUUCGGAUUCGGCAAAAAUUCAGUACAGAUAUAAUUCGAAUAAAAUUCGUCUUUUAAUUUUUAAAUUCGUUGAAAAAUACGGCUAAAAAAUAGAUUCGACAGUUAUUCGAAUACGUAAUAUAUACGGGUAUUAUACGUUCACCAAUUAAAGAUUCCAGAUCAAAAAUUCGGCUAUAUAAUAAAUAUAUAAUAAUUAAUAUACUAUAUAUAUUAUUAUUAUAAUUUUUAUAUAUAUAUUAAAUAUAUAUAUUUAAAAUUAUAAUAAAUAUAUAUUAAUAAUAUAUAAGAGUUAUAUAUUUAAAAAUAUUAAUAAACUUAGAUUUGUGCAGAUCAAAGGACUAAUUUAUUCCAAUUAAUCUCAGAUAUUAACUAUUCCACCCUAAUUAACUCUCCCAAUUAACUCUUCCACCCUAAUUAACUCUUCCAAUUAACUCUUCCACCAUAAUUAACUCUCUCAAUUAACUCUCCCAAUUAACUCUCCCAAUUGACCCUCGUACAGCACCCCUCCUCGUCCCCUUCCUCCGGCACCGACAGCACCCACCUCGACCACCGUCGCCACUCCAAACCUCGAGGGUGGCGACCCAUGAGGCAAUAUUGGUGAUCGGAGCUGCUGUUCCCGACAGAGGCAGAGACGAAGAACGGGUUUCUCAGCAACGAAGAAGGCGUCCACGGCGAUGGUGUCGAGGUGGAAGGCACGAUGAUGCUACCGGUGGUGAGGGAGACGAUGUCGACCCACUCACAGCGAUGUCGAAUGUGACGAGAAGGAGGAGGAGGAGGACAACGAGAUCUGCACGAAUCGUUGCGGCCCUCUUGCUCCCGGCGCCGGCAAAGGCGGCGGCGGAGGAGGAGGACGAUGAGAGCGGCGACUCGCGGGCCUUUUUUUUGUGCGAAUGAGGCGAGGCUUCUUGGGGACGAAGGUGGAGGCGGAGGAGCCGGCGCCGAGGUUGGCGGUGGCGGUGGCGGUGAGCUGCUGGCGCUCGCGGCGGCGGGCGGCGGGCGGUGAGCGGCGGACUUGAUCGAGAGUAAUAAUGUUAAGUUGGAAGAGAAAGAAAGGAUAAUUUAAGGAAAUAGUUUAAUAAGAUAGGGGUAAAAUAGGUAUUUUAAUUAGGUUUUAACUCUGGAAUACAUUUAACUCAUGUUUAACCCGAGUUAGUUUAACAGGGGAUAACUGCGGGGGUAUUUUGGAAUAACGGUGGAACAUAUGAGGGGUAUUUUAGAAAGAAAAAAAAAAGUAGGGGUAAAUCGGAUAUAUUCAAACGCAUGAAGGGUAUAUUGGCAAUUAUCCCUAAAAAAAAAAAGGGACAGUCACAUGUUAGGCUUAACCCUAGCAUUGUACCAAGAGAUCAACAAAAAACAUUCCUCAUAUCUCUUAGUUGUCAUUCCGUUUUGCUAUUGAAUCCACUUUAGUGUUAAUUAUAUAAUAAAAUCUGACAAAAACCACUGUUACCACUAUUAAUCGACAUAGUAAAAUAAUUUGAUGUGACCAAGAUCCAUGUUAAUUAAUAACAGACGAAAAGAUAAGAAUCCGAUUGGGACCAUGCACCCCGAAUUGGCCUAAUCAACCACCAACAUGAACCAUCAGUGAUAGAGAUUAAUUAAAUCGGUCCCAAGAGGCUUUUAGAGACACAUCAACUCACUGUAUUAAGUGCUUUUGCUUAAUCAAAGAACCAAAAAACAAAAAAAAAAAAAGCAGUGUCCAAGAUGUGAAAAGCACAAGCACUGUAGCAUCAAAACCAUGUGAUAGCCCUCGAUCACUAAACAAUUACUUUCAUGUGGAUACAAAUGUAUAGACGUACGCUUAUUGGAAAGGUCCCAACACUUAACAUUAGACAAUAGAGAACACAAAAAAGAAAAGCUUUGGAAGGAAUGCUUUCAUGAACUAGCGUGGGACAGGAGGUGGUGGUGAUGUUAGUGGUCUUGCUUUGUGAAUAAUGUUAUAUGUAUCUAGCUUAUAAUGUUUCUCAUAAUUAACAUUGCUAAUUAAUGAAUCAACUUUUAACAAUUCAUUUGUAUAUAUAUAUAUAUAUUUAUAGAGUAAGUCUCGUGUACUUUCAAAAGUACAAAGAUCUCCGUGCUUGUAAGUUGUUUUCGAUGAUAGGAAAUCCGAUUCGACGAUCGGCUCCGUUAAAUAUAAUCUAUCUUAUUGGAACUAUUUAGAAACCAAAUUUUAUAACUUUUUGAUAUCAUUUACCAAGCGAUCAAAAUGUCUCAAAAAUGACGAUUUUAAUGGCCGAUGUGGCACGUUUUUAAGUUCAACGGUAUACAUAGAAGUAUCCAAAUUAGAUGAAAAUUUAAUAGAAAAUUCUACUUAACAUCAAUAGUAAGACCAAUACUUGCGAUUUGAAAUUUGAGUCCUUUAUCAUUGUUUUUUAUGAGAUUUUCAUUUUCAGCCGUUCAUUUUGAGGCUACUCGUUUACUAGACAAACGAAAUCAAAAAAUUAUGAAAUUUGGUUUCUAGGUAGUUCCAACAGUGUAGAUCAUGUCUAAUAGAACCGAUCGCCAAAUCGGAUGUCCCAUUAUUAAAAACAACUUACAAAUACGGAGGCUCCCGUACUUUCGAAAGCAUAAGAGCCUGGCUAUAUAUAUAUAUAUAUAUAUAUAUAAACUUAACUAAAAUAUAAAAUACUAUAGCUUCAAAUUGUAGAAUCUCGAAUGCCAGACCAUUAAAUUCUUAGUAUCUAUACUAAGUACGAUCGGAUUUUUUUGUUGCUAGUAUUUUUAUGGCAUAGAUGAUUUAUAUAGCAUUUCAAGCUGAACGUUUCAGUACGCGCUGACUAUAAAUAAUAUACAAUAAACUUUUUAAAAACUUUAUGUAUUUGAAAUUAUUAUGCAGUGCAUUUUACUCCUGCAUACCACCGCCCUAGAGCAAGUGGCUAAAAAGGCUUAUGUUGCUACCCAGACACAUAAGUGUCGUGACUGAUUGAUUCAUUUCCGUCGGCCUUAAGUUUAAUUUCUAAAUGAAAUAAACCGAAGCGGGGGUAGCGUGCUACUAUCCUUCUCAAAAAAAAAAUUCUCCUGCAUAAUCCCAUUGGCGUGCUAUUAAUUGGAUCACUAUUACUACAAUACAAUUUCAAACUCAAAUAAUUUAAGAACAAGCUUAUUGUUAUCGAAAAUCCGGUUCAAGUUAAAAAUUCUUAGUCUAAGAUAUAUUAUACUAUAUAUAUAUAUAUAUAUUAGCUUAUAAUUAUAUAUUUAUAAGUGUUGAAUUAAUCAAAGUUGUACAACUAGUUGGGAUAGAAAUUAAUAAGUGUGAUAAGUAUAUUGAUUAUCUUCUUUGGAUAUUUUGUAAAUGAUGGUUGUCGCGAUAGAGGCGAGCAACUUGUCCUUUAAAGGAGAAGAGGUUCGGCACCUGAAAACGCCUGAGUGAGAAUUAGAGGAGAUAUAUAUUUUUUUUUAAAAAAAAAGAAAUAAAAAGAAAAAGAGUAAAUAAAGAAGAGCGGCCACGCUUGAAAAGGAUGCUUUAUUUUUUGGGGAGUGGAAGAGCAGUGGAAACAUUAGAUUAAAAAAUAUAACAUAUAUAUAUAUAUAUAUAUAUAUAUAUAUAUAUAUAUAUAUAUAUAUAUAAUAUAUGGAGAGGUAGUGGAAACAUUAAUUAUUUCAUUAGAUUAAAUUAUAUAUAUAUAGUAUAUUAUAUAUUAAUUAUAUAUAUAUAUAUGUGAGACUACUAUGCUAUCGAAAGUAUGGAGCCUUUCGUGCUUCUAGCUCGUUUCGAUGUUGCGAUUUUCGAAUCGUGAUCGGCUCUGUUAAACUUGAUCUAGAAGUAUUUGAGUACAUAGAAAAUAAAUUUUUUAUUUUUCGAUAUCAUUUGCCUAGUGAUCGAAUGGGCUCAAAAUCAACAAAUUUCAAUGGCCGUAGUGAGCGCUUUGCAAGUUUAACGGUGUAAAAAUAUUCAAAUCAGCGUGAAAUUUUGAUGAAAAUUUUUUAUACUAUAUAAAACAAGAUCAAUAUCCUUGAUUUAAAAUUUUAAUGUCAUAUUAUUACAUUUUGUAGAUUUUUAUUUUCAGCGUUGAUUUUGAGCCUUCGUUCAUUAGGCAAAUGAUAUCGUAAAAUCAUAAAAUUAUUUUCUAGGUACUUCAAAUACUCUAGAUCAACUCUAACGGAUAUAUAUAUAUAUAUAUAUAUAUAUAUAAUAUAUAUAUAUAUUAGUUGCGGCUAGGAUGCUUAUGGAAGCACGGAGGGCUCCGUGCUUUCAUUUUGUUUUCGAUGUUCGACUUUCGAAUCGACGAUCGGCUCCGUUAGAGUUGAUUUAGAGUAUUUGAAUACCUAGAAAAUAAAUUUGUGAUUUUCGAUAUCAUUUGACUAGUGACGAAGGGGCUCAAAAUCAAUAAUUUUAAUGGCCGUAGUGAGCCGGUUGCAAGUUUAACGUGUAUAGAAUAUUCAAAUUACUGAAAUUUUGAUGAAAAUUCUUUAUACCAUAUAAAACAGAUCAAUAAUUUUUAUCUAAAAUUUUAAUUCAUUUCAUCAUAUUUUGUAAGAUUUUUAUUUUCAGCCAUUGAUUUGAGCCACUUCGAUCAUUAGCAAAUGAUAAUCGAAAAAUCGCUAAAUUUAUUUCUAGAUACUUCAAAUACUCUAGAUCACUCUAACGGAGCCGAUCGUCGGUUCGAAAGUCCGACAUCGAAAAUAACUUAGAAGCACGAGGACUCCGUGCUAUCAUAAACAUACUAGUCCACUAUAUAUAUAUAUAUAUAUAUAUAUAUUAUAAUAUAUAUAUAUAUAUAUAUAUAUAGCUCGCAACGGACUAAAAUAAAUGCUUCACUCUAUAUUUUAGGAGCUUGUGAAAGUUUUUAGACCAAAAGACAAUUCUUUUGGUAAUAGUAGAAAAAGAGAACAAAUAUUAUAAAAAUAUCGAGCUCGGUAAUUCAAUAGUAAAGUGUGUUGACACUAUUACUAGUCAAAAAAAAAAAAAAGACUAAAAUUGAGUACAUUAACUAAUUACAGAUAGUUAAUUGCAUUAAAGUAACAUAUGAAUGCUUGUUUUUUUCUCUCUCCAAAGAAAAUGCAAUUAAUAGAGUACUCCUAGUAAUUAACUUGAUCUCUUUGUAGCUCUUUGGCGAGUUAUGUAGAUAAUUUUGCAAAUAUAUUUUUAAAAAAGUAUUUUUGCACUGAUGUUAAUGGUCACUUGGAAUUCUUGUUAAGUUUUUCUUUUUUUAAAAAAUAAUUUGAUGGUGUUUAGUCGUCUUCAAUGCACGUGCCUAUCAUUUCACAUGGACCAUAAAACAUAAACCAAAUCAAAAUACCACAUAAGCUAAACAACACCAACAUUCGACAAACCAAUUAAUUAAGAUCCAUCAUCAAAAAAUAUUAUUUCACAUUUUAACAGUUUGGCUCAACUUUAGCAUUUACUUUUAGCUUAUGUAAACACUGGUAGUGUAUUUGACAGAUAGAGAAAGAUAAACCUUUUGUUAUGGAGUGAAGCAUAGAAAUAAUAUUGUUGAGUCUAAAAAUAGAGUUCAAUUUGAUAUUUUUAGUUUUGUUCCAUAUAGAAUGAAAAUUUUGGAGGUGAUAAUAUAGGAGUCCAGCUUCUAUUCUCUUAAUAUGAUAAAAGUUUUUGUUCUAUCAAGUUCUUUUGUUUAAUCGAGACUCUAAAUUGAGAAUUGACACUGUUGCAAUUGAUCUACACUAUUAGAAACAUUUAGAAAUUUUGAAUUUUGUAAUUUUGAAAAAGUCCAUCAAAGAGUCAAAAAAUGAACAGUAAAAAAUAAAUAAUUUUUUAAAAAUAAAGGCUAGACUUUUUAAUUCAUGAUCAGAAUUAUCAAACGUUAUCUACGUAGUAUAAAAAAAUUUCUAUUAAAAAUUCAAGUAAUUUGAAUUGCUCUAUACCGUUAAACAAGCAAAAAGCUCAUAUGGGCCAUUAAAAACUAUAAAUUUUGCAAUCAUUUAUAUUAAAAAUUCAAGCGAUUUGAAUUGCCCUACGUGCGAGUGUACAUUGGAACCUAAUAAAAAAUUCAAAAUCAACAACAAUAUAUAUAUAUAUAUAUAUAUAUAUAGAGAGAGAGAGAGAGAGAGAGAGGCUGGUAUGCUUCUGAAAGUCCAAAUUGUUUUUAAUUUGAUCUAGAGUAUUUGAAAUAUAUAGAAAAUAAAUUUUAUGAUUUUUUAAUAUUACUUGCCUAGUGAUCGAAGGGUUAAAAAUCAAUAAUUUUAAUGACCGUGACGAACUGUUUGCAAGUUUAACGGUAUAAAAAUAUUCAAAUCGCGUGAAAUUUUGAUAGAAAAUUUUCUAUACUAUAUAAAACAAGAUCAAUAUAUUUGAUCUAAAAUUUUAACUUUAUAUCAUCACAUUUUAUAAAAUUUUUAUUUUCAGCUAUUGAUUUUGAUCUAUUUCGAUUACUAGGCAGAUGAUAUCAAAAAAUCACAAAAUUUAUUUUUUAAGUACUUCAAAUAUUUUAGAUUGAGUUUAACGGAACCAAUCGUCGAUUCGAAAGUUUCAACAUCGAAAACGAUUUGAAAAUACGAAAGGCUCCAUGCAAGUAUACCAGCCACACUUUAUAUAUAUAUAUUGCCGUCACUGGAUGUUUAAGCACAUCUCACACACCGUCCUCGAUAAAUACCAUGAUAGUGGUUGAAUAAUUGACGCCUAUUUACUCACUAAUACGUACAAAAAACAAUAGAAUUUUCAAACUAAAACUCUAAAUCACAUCUAUCUAUUGCCGAAAAUUAGAUGCGAAUCGUGAGGCAUUCGGACACACCGGGUGCAGGUAUUUCUCAGAAGGCUAAAUUAAACUUUUGUUUCUCAAACUACGGCGCAUGCUAUUUUGGCCUUUUUGGUUCGAGUUUUUUAAAUUAUUAUAAUUAAAUUUCAUAGUCUAACUUAGUUAACUAGAUAUUAAUAUAUCGAAAAAUAAAAAUAAUGAAAUAGUAUUGUGAUUAAUGAUAUGACAAUAAUUCAGGUAUCACAUUACUUCUACCGUUGCUGACUUUGUCUUCCUUUUAUUUUUUCACUUGUAUAACUUAAUUAUAAUAAUAAUAAAAUUUGAAUAAAAAAUUAUUAUAAAUAAAAAAUUGAGUAUUAUAAUAUCACCUCUCUUGUAGUGUAAUGUGUGAGGAUCAAAAGUAUAGCUUAGCCUUCUGUAGAAAGAACUGGGACUCACUCGACCCCCUCGUCCGUCCUAUCUAUAAUACCCAUCUCGCUUCAUUUAUAUUAUUUAAAAAUAAAUUUAAUUAAAAAUAUAAAUCAAUUAAAAUUAGUAUUUAAGAUUUUAAAUAUCAAUCAUCAAAUUUUUUAUCACCUGCACUAAGUACGAUCGUUAUACCUCAAUUAUUUAUGAUCUUACAUUUGUAGUGCCACAUUGGCGCCAAAUUAAUGGACCUGGUCAGGAUCAGCAUUCCCCGCCGAUUCGCUUUCCUAGUGCGCUCGAGGUUGUCGUGUCCGACCCAAUAAAGAGACCCCACCACAUUCGUACCCACGCCCCAUCACCCUCCAUCUUGUCAUAUCCCUACUUACAUGUCCACCACCCACACAUCGAUUUAAGGUUAAAAUUGUAAUUCAAAAAUGAAAACUGUUUUUUUUUUUUGAAAAAAAAAAACCUCCAAAACCUUUUUAAUUACAGGCCAUUUUAGAAAAAGUAUUGCCACAAAUUAAUUUCUCUAAAUGUUGACUCUUCUCGAUUGCUGACGUGUUAAAAAUAUACAUAGUAUAAGAGGUUUCAAAUUAUUAUUUUUUUAAAUAAUAAAGUUUGCUUGUUGAUUCUCACCAAAUGAUCAAUCAAAUUAAGUAAUUACACUCACUCACAUAGUCACAUUCUCUCUUGUAAGGGGUCAUCAAUUAAUAAACUAUGAUAUCCAUUAGAGAGAAUAAGGAGGGGUAAUUAAACUAAAUUAAAUCAGCAACAGCUGAGACAUAAUCGAACAUUCUACAGAAAGUGACAAAAAGUUUGAUGAUUGAUACUCGAGCUUCCAAAUUUGAAUUCUAAUUAAUUUACAUUUCAAACUAAGUGUAUUCCUAAAUGAAAUAAACAAAAAUUACCUUAUCUCUCUAANAAAAAAAAAAAAAACACAGCUGAGACAUAAUAACGUCUUAUUCAGAGAUUGCUCGUGGGGGCUACUGCUACUCCCCAGUCCCCUCCUCCUCACUCGUAUUUAGACCCCCCCACCACUCCUCACUUCACCACCACCACCACCACCCUCUCACCACCUUAAUCACUCAAUAUCACUCUCCUUUCAUAAGUUAAAGGAGGAAUAUAUAUAAAAAUAUAUACACGCGCGCGUGUGUGUGUAUACAUAUAUACUGACUAGGUGGUGUUAGCUGCAGCAGCGGCGGCGGUCGGUAAGAAAUGGCGGAUGCGAAUGCGAAGCAGAUAUGCGGCGUGCCGGAGAGGGUCCAGCUGCAUGUGGCCAUGCUGGCCCUCCAGUUCGGCUACGCUGGCUUCCACAUCGUGUCGCGGCUCGCGCUCAACAUGGGGAUCAGCAAGGUCGUGUUCCCGGUCUACCGGAACAUCAUCGCCUUGAUCCUCCUCAUUCCCUUCGCAUAUUUCCUCGAAAAGUACGAUCACUUUUUUUUGAGAGAUACAUAGCGUGCUACUGAGAAAUAGGAAUUAAUUAAAAUUCGAAUUUGGAAUCUCGAAUAUCAACUAUCAAAUAUUUUGUCACUUGCUUGGCGCUAGAGCUGAUCGAUAGUACAAUUACUUUCUGAUCACUGAUCACUGCAUGUACAGUAACGUACAAAUUAGUAAACAACAAGCAAAUUCAACGAAUGUAUAUAUACGCGUGACAAAAAUAUAGUUUCAUUUUAUUUUUUCUUUCAUGCAAAAAAAAAAAUGAAGUAAUAAUUCAUUAAUUACAUGUUCAAUUUAUUUUUGUAGGAAGGACAGGCCCGCCAUCACACUUAACUUCCUCGUUCAAUUCUUCCUGCUUGCGCUCUGCGGGUAAUUAAUUAAUUAACAUAUAUUUGGCACUAAUUACUCAGAUUGAUUUGAGAAUUUUAAUCUUCGUAUUUAUGUACGCAACAUAUAUAGUAUAACUGCGAACCAAGGAUUCUACUUACUGGGUUUGGACAACACUUCCCCGACCUUCGCAUCCGCGAUCCAAAACUCCGUCCCCGCCAUCACCUUCCUCAUGGCCGCUGCUCUGAGGUGACUGUUUUGCUUUAAAAGUUUAAACUAUCAGAGAACAGUAUUUUAAUUAACCUUUUUUCCGCCGCAGGAUCGAGAAGGUGCGUCUCGACCGCCGCGAUGGCAUCGCGAAGCUCGUGGGCACGCUGGCCUGCGUCGCGGGCGCGUCGGUGAUAACCCUCUACAAAGGCCCGACCAUAUUCACGCCCUCGCACAACGUAAACAGCAACAACGCCGUCGCCGCCGCCGCUGUCGAAGCGUCGGAAAAGGCGCUCCUGUGGGUGAACGAUCCCAAGGGGAAGAACUGGACGCUGGGGUGCUUGUACCUGAUCGGGCACUGCUUGUCGUGGUCGGGGUGGCUGGUGCUGCAAGCCCCCGUGCUGAAGAAGUACCCGGCGCGGCUCUCCGUCACGUCGUAUACGUGCUUCUUCGGCGUGAUACAGUUUCUGAUCAUUGCGGCGUUCAUCGAGAGAGACGCAGAGGCUUGGAUUUUCCACUCCGGCUCGGAGCUCUUCACUAUCCUCUAUGCGGUAAUAAGAGUUUUACUUGGUGUGUUUAUGUUACGUACCUGCAUGCUAGUAGUGCUUCAUGGCACAGAAGUUUUAACUUAAACUUUUUAAUUCACAAAUAAGAAUUAAUAUAGUAGUGCUUCUUCUAAUAGCACUAUUCUAAUUGCAUUUUACUCGGCCUUUUAGCAAUAUUGUUAAAUAAUUCCUUACAUAGCAGAAGUAAAAGUGAAAAGUGAAAAGUGAAGCUUAAAUGAUUAUUUGACAACCUAUUCUGAACGAGAAAAAUUUUAAAAAGAAAAUUUCUAAAUGCUCCUGGUUUUACUAUUUGGAAGCAGAAAAAAUAUUUGAAAAAAAACAGAUACAGUUAUUUCUGAGCAUAACUAAUUGCGAUCUCAUUAUGACGUGUCUAAGCUUAUAAUAUGCAGUGCUAUGAUCGGUCACAACAGCCUAAAAGUAUGCACCAACUCCAAAGGUUUCUGAAAUGGAUAUUUAGUUAAGGAAUGUCCGUAGUGAGUUGUGUUAUCUUUUUCACCUUUUUUUUUGACCCAUAUGGUGAUGGCAUAGAUGGAAAUGGACCAAACAAAUUAAAUAAAUAAUAUAUAGAAAGUUGGUGUGGCAAUUGUAUCCUUCUUUGGAAGGAGGAAAGAGAAAGAAGGGAGAGAGAGUGAGAGAGAGCUACAGGAAGUGCUCCUUUGCUUUGCUUCUCUACUUGGUCAGAAGCUUUAAAUGAAUUGGUUAAAGCUACCUUUGGACUUAGCUUUUCCACUUCAGAGGUGUGAAAUCUAAUAUUAAAACAUAUAUGUAGCAUAAAGUUGAAAUUAGUGGUAAACAUAAUGGGAUAAGCCUUUCUUUUAUGCCUUCGCUUUAACUUUAUUCAUAAUAAUACUAGCUAGUUAUAAUUACAAGUAUAAUAAAUUGCAAGGGCUCCAUUAUAUAAUCUUUUGAUGUGCAAAUGACAUCAUUAGAGGAGAAAGGAUUUCCUUUUGGUCAUGCCUACACUGUUUCACCAGAUGAAAAGAGCACCAAAAAAUUCCUCUUCAAAGGGGGCAUGUGCCAGAAUACAUACUCAUUUGUCAUCAUGCUGUACUUGCCAGAGUGUUAUGAUCACAUGGCAGCAACAGCUUCCUUUGAUUCCUCCAUGGAGUACAGCAAAUCUUUCAGGGUGUGCACCCUAGUUAUCUAGUGGAUGAGCAACUUAAUUUGGUCCCCCACAAAACAAAAAAGAAAAGGAAAAAAAAGAAGAAAGAAAUCUUACUUUUUCUAAAGUUAGGUAGAUAGAGCGCAGAAGGAUUUGAGUAGGUCUUGAGUUCGAGUCUCAUUUACAGAAACGAAAAAAAUAGAAAGAAAAAGAAAAACUAGUAGUAACAUAAUGCAUUACUUGCGUCGAGCAUCUUUACUAAGCUCAAAUAUAUAUAUGAACUCAUUUUUUAGGGUUUCAUUGCGUCUGGAGUGGCGUUCGCAGUCCAGAUAUGGUGCAUCGACCGUGGCGGUCCUGUGUUUGUGGCCGUUUAUCAACCCGUCCAGACUCUCGUCGUCGCCAUCAUGGCCUCUAUCGCUCUCGGAGAGCAAUUCUACCUCGGAGGGUACCGAAUCGAAAUAACUAAUCUAACUGCACAUAAAAUAGCAAGCAUGAAAUUUCUAAUUUGCUUCUUUUUGCUAUUGAUCUUUUUGGUGCAGGAUCAUUGGAGCCAUAUUGAUCAUAAUUGGGCUAUACUUGGUUCUCUGGGGCAAAAGUGAGGAGAGGGCAUUUGCUAUAAAAGAGGCAAUAAUUUUGGCUUCCUCAAACAGUGAAGAUAACAGCCAUAGAGCAAGUGCUGUUUCCUUCAAGGCUUCUUCCCUGAAUCAACCACUACUUCCCUCAUCUACCUCGGAAAGCGUGUGACAAGAACUAUAAUUAAUCCCUCUCUUGGAGAUCUAUGUAUGGGCUCAUGUUUAUGUUUACGCAAUAUUUAAUGUUGUGAAGAAGCAAGUUAAGAAUGGGGUUGUAGUGUGUGAGAGCAUAGACUUAGAUUUGUUUACUCAAAAGUUAACUACUACUACUAGGGUUUACUCACUGCAGUUGAUGGGUUGGUGCACAGUGAGUGCUAGAAGGAUUGUGUUGGUAGCUACUAGAUCUUUGUUCAAAAGAAGCUAUGAGGUUUGCAUUUGGUUUGUUAUGUUCUUGUCCUUUUCUCUUCCCAUGCUUGUGAGUGGCAAACUUGCAAAAGAGAAUCAAGCAUCUAUUUUGUCCUUUAGCUUGAUAUAUAUUAUUGAGUGAUUGAUAAGAUAAAAGAGUUACUGGAGAUCUACAUACAUAGAUAGGAAUAUAUAUUUCUACUUGACCAGUCCUCUCAGUUUCUGAAAAUGUUUCUCAGAAUAUUAUUAAUGAUCAUCCUAGCAUAUACAUGCAGAUCAUAGUGAGUAAUUUAGAUUUUUCGAAUUUUUGUGACCAUGUUUUCAUUUCAUUAUAUAUGAUCUCUAUUUAUUUUUGGCACACAAAGAAUAUUAUCUCACUCAUGUAAGUAUAUAUCCUUUUUCACGUCUGAAAUAACCGAACCGCUUAAUUAAUAGCUUCCAUGCAUGUAUAGGAAGCAGAUUUUUCAAAAACAUUCUGCGGAAGUAUGCGAGGCUGGUUGAUUUGUCGACAACAUUAACUUUGAGAUAUAUUAUUGCACAUACAUUACUCUAUGUCGGUUUUUCACUCCGAACACCAUUUUUUCUUAAGAUUGUAAGUGAGGAAAAAGAAAAGAGAGAAAAACAGUCAUAUGCAUUUAGAAGCAUAUAUUUAGAUGGCCCUGUUAAUGAUGAAAGGUGAGAAACACAAUGAAGCAUUAUAUAUCUUAUCUUUCACUAUUAAAUACCUAAUUGGAGGUUCCAAAGUCCCUUUGCAGUCUCUGUCACGCAUGAUCCACUAACUUGUACAAUAUUUGACCUGAACAUGACUUCUUUGUGAAGGCUCUAGAAGACCUUUGAUUCUUUGUUCUUAAUUGUGCCCCACUCAUAUUCCAGAGCAAUCAAAUGCUAUGCUUUCUUUCUUCUUCUUUUGUUUUUUGUUUCUUUAUGCAACUUUACAUAGGGGGGAAAUUUGAGGUGUCAUAUAUGGAGGGGUUAGUUAAUUUUGUGAUCUUAAGAGUGGUAUCAGUCCUCAAAGCUGGUACUUUACUAAUCAAAAUUCUAGUUUAUUAAAGAGGUUUUAAAAAGUGGUGGUGGUGUUUUGGGGUUCAGAAAAUAUUAAUAGUUGAUUUUAAUGCUAUGAUAACUAGAUUGUAUUUUGUGAUAACUAAUGCUUUAUUACCUUCAUGUACACAACAAGAUAAAGGAUAGGACAAAGAAGAGCAGGAGAAAUGUGAAAGUAUCACUGCUUUAGCCUAGCUUGUUGGCUUUAGCUGUUAAAGCUGAGAGGUCUAAUGGAAUAAUCCCAAACAAACUUGACUUGAAUUAGAUCCAAAUCACAAAUCCAGAUACGAGAUUUAGUUUUUUUUUUUUUUUUUUUUUUAGUGAUUGUUUUGUAUGGUAUUAGAGCUGGAGAUUCUGAAUUCUCUAUCAGGUGAAGACCGUUGAGGCUCUCCACGUCUUCAUGUUUUAUCAAGAAAUUCGCCAAAAUCUUUUCCAUUACUUUUUAAAUUCCCUCCAGCAAGGGAUGCUUUGCUUGCUUACAAUUCUAUAAUUUCUGUAUAAUUCAAUUUUUUUUCACUUCAUGAAUCAGGGCUUGAUCCUUAAGAUUCGCAGAUAUUAAAAAAGAAUCAUAAAAAAAAUACUUCCAUUUGAUGUAGUCUUAAUUAACAUGUACAAUUAUGAAUGCUGGUUGAAAUAAUAAGUUUUCAAAUUUAAAAACAAUUCAAAAAAGUUGGGCUUCUUAAGUGAGGCCCAAUUCCAACUUAAAUUUAUGGGCUUCGUGGACCAAGCACCACAGCAGGCCCAUAUUAAUUUAUGGCCCUGGCCCCUUUUGGGAUCACAUGGAGAUUGCGCUACCACAUUCUUUUACAUGCUUUCACUCAAACUCUAUUUUAUUUAUUAGCAUUUAAUAUACAUUCAUUCAUACCAAAUGAGUCUCUCUUCUUGUUUGGAAACAACGAAUGACACGUGUAGCGUGGACCUGGUUCACCAGUAAGCCAAAAGCCAACCCAAGUUUUUAAUCUUAGAGGUCGCAAAAUCUGAAAUAACCAAUGGAUGCAAUCUCUUGUUAUGAAGAAUCUAUCUACAUCUAAAAAAUUAUAAAGUUCAAAAAACCUUGAGGAGUAUGUUUUCUUAUUUUUAGUGGUUAUAGAGUUUCUUUUUUUUUUUUUUGAGAGAGAGAUAGGUAGCACGCUACCCGCUUCGUUUAUUUCAUUUAGAAAUAAACUUAGCUGGAAAUGUGAAUCAACUAGGAUUCAAACUUGGGCCUCGGAUACCAACUACCAAGCCCCUUACCACUUGCUCUAGGGAUGCUCUAGGGAUGGUAGUGGUUAUAGAGUUUCGAGUGUUGAAAGGUUAGUAGUCCACGGUAGACCCGGUCCUGGCAAAUGAAUUUUCCAUAGUCGGAACGUAGGCGGAACGCUCACAGCGGUCUCCAUAUGGAAUGGGUUUUAGUCCCACAUCGACUAGCGAGUGCUCUUUUCAGUCGCCAGGAUGCAUAAGAAGGGUGGGGUGUGGAUCAUUUUUCCAUACUUACCUGGACGGGGUCUAUGGGCGAUCAAGAAGGUCCAUGGCCUAGGCCCGCGGCCCGCAUUGCACUUUGUGGGUGCGCUGGCCUACCAUCUCCCCAAGUGGGAGAGUGGACGUCAUAAUUUGUGGUAGAGGGGGUACGCGCCACGCGCGGCCCCUGCCAAUUCAAAAGAUUUAAAUUUUUUAAAAUUUUAAAGUUUCAAAAGAUUAGAUAGUAUAAUUUAUAAUUUAUUUGAAAUCAUAAAUUAUUUUUAUGAAUGAAUGUUUAUUGUUUAUAAUUUUAGUUGUAUUGUUUAUUUUUUAAUUAAUUUUAAUUCUGGGGAGUAAAUAGUAUAUUUUGAUUUGAUUUUAAAAUUUAAGUGUUUCAGUUUUUGCAUGAAUAAAUUUUAAAGUUAAAAGUAUCUUCAAAUUAAACUAAGACAAUUAAAUAUUUGUUUAGCUCAAUUUUUUUUCCUGCUCUUUGGUGUUGAUCGAAACACCUUUGAUUGAGGGGUCUGUUUGCUUUACCAAAUUAAAGCAAAAUUUUGAAUCAACUAGAAUUUGAGUAAAUUUUUAUUUCACUUUUCUGUUCAAUAAAUUAAUAUUUUUUUAAAUCUUUUUUGUAAAUUAAAAGUUUUGAGUUUUAAUCGAAGAUUAGAUUUAGUAAACCAUUGAAAAAAUAUAAACAUUUACACUGAAAAUUACUUAAAUCUUUGUCCACUCUCUGAAAAACAAACAAACUCAUGAGCACUUUUCCUUGAAGUUCCCACCUUCUGGGGGCCCAAAAGGAGAAAAGCCCUUUAUCGCAAUGUUAGCAGCUGAUACCUUAUCCCCGACCCACCAAAGCCCCUAAUCUCGGCUUCUUCUCCUUCUCUCGACUCUGUCUGAUUUUCAUGGAGGAAGCAGUACUCGGCGUCGCCAUGGCCACCCACGCCAUCCUCGCCGCCGCUACCAUAUCCUUCUCCUCCCCUGCUCCUCUCCUUCCUCAUUCCUCUGCUCGCCCCUUCCACCCCGCCAUUAUCGCCCAACCCCUCAAGCUCCUCUUCCCCUCCCCCUCCGACGCCGCCGCUCCCAAGCCCCUCGCCGUGGUCGCCGCUCCCAAGCCCCUCGCCGUGGUCGCCGCCACCCAGAAGGCCGUCUCCGUCCUGAAGGGCUCCUCCCAUGUCGAGGGCCUCGUCACCCUCCUCCAGCAAGACGAUGGUCUCUCUCUCCAGCCUAAUCUCUCUCUCUCUCUCUCUCUCUCUCUCUCUAGCAUUGCUCUCCUUUGGGUUCGCUUCGUUUCAUCGUAUUGGCAAAUGGGUUUUUGCUCAAAAUUGAAGCUUUUCGUCGCUAUUGGGAAAAGUGUGAAUGGGUUUUCUCGGGAUUUUGUUCUAGCGGGAUUGAUCGAUGUGUUUGUGUUGACUAUUCAUUUCAUCAGUUUGGUUAUAUACUUGCUUAGUGUUCUGUUAGAGUAACUUCAUUGUAAGAAUAUAUGGUGAAUAUGAACAUUCUCUAACUUCGUUGUAAUUUUAGGAUGAUAAGUGAGUUAAUUUGUUAUAGUCGCUUGGUUCUUGCGUAGUUGUGUUGUGUUCUUAGCUCAUUUGUGAUGUGUUUCCAUGAAAAUUUUGAUUUCUGUUGAAUUUGCUAUAAUUUUUAAAGCAAGUUAUGAAUUAUAAUUAUAUAUAUAAUAUAUAACAAAUCAACAGGUCCUACAACAGUGUCAGUGCGCGUUACUGGACUAACCCCUGGACUUCAUGGCUUCCACCUUGUAAGCGGUUGUUAUUUUAUAUGAUUGUUUGCUGCUACUUAAAUAGAUGAUCGGCGUUCUCUAGUCAAAAUGCAUUCUUUUCUUUGUUGCAGCACGAGUAUGGCGACACCACCAAUGGCUGCAUAUCAACAGGUUUAACAUCUAUUCAACCAGUCGCUUAUACAGAUGCCAUUAUCAGCAGGUUCAGUAUUCGUUGAAUUGAUUAUAUUCUGCUGACGGAAGCUGCUCUUUAACUCGAUUUUCUUGAUGUUAUGUUGUUAUCUGAGCAGUCGAGCACAGCAUGUGGAAGUUUUCAGUAAUAAAGCAUUUGGCAAUUAAAUAGUUUGGAGCUUUGAUGUGGCAGAAGUUUCUGUAUCUGCCUCAUCCUAAGAAGAUUUUGAUGAAAAAGCUUAUAGUGCUUCUUUCAACAUCUAUGGUUGACCAUCACUUCUGCAGAAGCUCAAUUUGGGCCAAUUAGGCCCCUCAUAUCGUUAGAUUUACCAGCUUUUGCUGGAGGGGAAAAAAAGGAAAAUGUUCUUAAUGUUUCUGCAUGUAGUAUAGUACUUUUCUAAGGAAAAUGCAAUUUUGUUCACACAGGGCCACAUUUCAACCCAAGUAAUAUGACGCAUGGUGCUCCCAAAGAUGAAGUUCGUCAUGCGGGUGACCUGGGAAACAUAGUUGCCAAUGCCGAUGGUAUCACUGCAAGAGUAGUUGUAUUUUUUCUUUUUCUUUUUUUGUCCACCAUGUUGAAUUGACAUAUUUUCUUUUGGUCUAUGUUUGUUACUUUCAUGCAUAUAGGAAUAGCUGAGGCGACAAUUGUCGAUAACCAGGUAAACUUGAAUUCUAUACUUAAUAUGUUUAUAUAGAUUCUUUUCAACAUGCUCAGGCGAACCGCUUCUUUUCUUCAGAGACAAAAAAUUAAAAAACUUCUUUCUGCUUCUCAAUAAUUGCUUUCUCUGCUUGCUAAUACUUGGUUCUUUGCAAAUGUUGGAUCGGCUAAUUUUAAACCUUAGAUUCUUUUGAGUGGACCAAAUUCAGUUGUUGGAAGAGCCUUUGUGGUUCACGAGCUUGAGGAUGAUCUCGGGAAAGGUAAUGCUUGAUUUUUCAUCAACCAAGCUCCUGUUUCAUAGAAAAGCAUACAUCUGUUUUAAUUACAUAGUUCACAUUGUCCAUUCUUAUUGAGUUCUUAUUUGAAGUUUUGUUCUUUGGAUGCCUCUUGUCACAGGGGGCCAUGAGCUUAGCCUUACGACUGGAAAUGCUGGCGGACGAUUGGCCUGUGGUAUGCUAUCUAGCAACCUCUUUUUGUUGAAAUUGAUUGUUUUUUAUUUCCACUUAUAUGUCUCUGCCAAAAUAGUUCCUUAUUUUCUAGCUUUUCUUUUACAUGUAUUAAACUACUAUAAUUAUGAAAAAUUUCAAGAAGCAUGGGGUAGUGGCAUAAUUAAAAGUGAGACAAUGGCCCUAGGAUCGUGGUAAAUAUAACUCGGAUGUGGCAAUUGGAAUGAGAGUGGGAGUGUGUUUCUUGGAAUAGGAUUUAACUGAUCGGUGCUGUUGGGAAUGAUGCCUUGUCGUGGCUUAAGAGUAUACAAUACAUUAGGUGCAAUAAUGAGAUAAUGAAGGAACUGUUUAUUACAUUUUGAAAGGGAAUGCUAAACUUGAUGACCACUCUCUGAUUCCUGAAAAGAAGAAAAGAGCAAAAAGUUUCCGUGGAGGCUCUUUCAUGUACUUGAAGUCAAUAACCAAACAAAUUUUUUUUUUGCACUGAAGAAUAAUAUGGAGCUAUCCCCAUGUGAUGCACUUAAAACAAAAUGUGUAAAGCGUAGUGAAAAAUCUACGUAGCCACAGAAGUAAAACAAACCUAUACAGAAAGGGGGGGGGGGAGGUAGCCAUCACAGAAAAAAAGCUUUACCCACAGCCUGUGGCAGACAUGAGAUUUAAGGACUUGACCUGUUAAUUUACCAUUUUACAGUGAAACUAUUUCAAUCUAGCAGAGCUGUUUCUAAUUUAUCAUGUUUCAUGUUUCUCAGAAGUUAUUUAAUGUAAAGAUUAUGCUUGUGGCCGGUUUUGCAACACGGAUGCCCUUGCUGUGAUUCAGCAUUACUGUUCUUCAUACAUCAGCACUGAUGCCUGUGUUUUUGAGGGGCCACAAUUUAGAUAAUCUAUCAUACGUGAAUUUGUCUCAUUCCAACUUAUAUGGAUGCAUCUUAUAAAAAUUUUCUUUCAAACUUCGCGAGUCCGUCUACUAUACUAUUAUGAGUAUGAUCGCCCUCGUACUCAUAAUUGUUUUCGAUGAUAGAGCUUCCAAAUUGAUGAGCCACACCGUUAAAUAUUAUCUAGCGCAUUUAAAACGUCUAGAAAUCAAAUUUUAUAAUUUUUCGACAUCAUUUACCUUACGAUCAAAAGGUCACAAAAUUGACAAUUUUUAACGGCUAGUAUAGGAUAUUUGCUAGUUUAACGGUGUAAACGAAUUGAAAUUGGUUGAAUUUUUAAUAGGAAAUUUUAUUCACUACAUAGAUAAAGAUCAAUAACUCCGAUCUUAAAUUGAAGGAUCCGAUCAUCCAUUUUUAAGAUGUCGUUCGAUUUUGACCGUUCAUUUUAUACCCGCUUGAUAGACUUUAUUAUGAUUUCGAAAAAUUACGAAAUUUAUUUUCUAGAAGUUUGAAAUACUCUAGAUCAUAUUUAACAGAGUAUAUCGUCAAUUCGGAAGCUCCAUCAUUGAAAACAACUUAUGAGUACAAAGGGCUCAAUACUCAUAAGAGUAUAGUAGCCCUACUCCAAACUUCGCUCUUAGAUUGUUUGUUAUGUACGGUGAAAGCAUUGACUAUCAGCUCUUGAAACUUCGAUUCUCUAUUGAGGCAUUAACUAUUAGAGUAGAUGUAACAUUCCUUUUGUUAUUUUGCUGCAUUUACAGGUGUUGUUGGUUUGGCUCCAGUUUGAUUGAUUCAAUUCUGUGUCCGAGCUAGCUUCGUCAUGCUUGCGCUACGGAGUUGUAGUACUAUGCAUUACUUGGAUCCAACAUUCCGGCAUGUUGGGUGAGUGUUUAGUCAUGCUUUUGAUCUCUCUACUUACAUUGUCUUCCUAUGCCAUCUUUAAGCCUUCAAGAUUAGAUACAUAAGAAAAUGUAUUCAUGUGCAGCUGUAACUAUUACUGUACACUGAAUUCUGUGUACUUUUGGUAGAAAACUUUAAUCCAUAUAAAAUCAUAUUCUUGUACUUGUAGUGCUUAAAAUUAGUGGUACUUUUAUAAAAAGAAAAAAAGUAAAAACAAGUAUUAAGCAAGCAUAAAUAUAGAGAAAACUUAUCUUUGAAAAACACACAAAAGAAGCUUCUCUUCUGGUAGGUACAUAUUCCCAUGCCUUAGAGCACUUCUUUAACUUGAACACAAUCUCUUAGAAAAAUCCAACGAAGUGAAGAGGUAGGUACAACACAGCUAUAACACACUAAUGACCUUGUUUUCAUAUUUGAUAUUGAACCGUAUAUUUAAUUUUUAUGUACAAGUAACAUAAAAAGGAAUAAUACCCCAGUACCCAUAAAUCAUGUGUACAACUAAUGCUUCCUAAGCAAACCAAUUCUAAAAGAUACAGCAAAACACGUCAAGAACAUUUCAGAUAUAGCUUUGUCGGUGACAUUUUUACACUAAUCAAUUAGUUUGGGAGGGAGAUGGACACUUGUCCCAAAUUCCAUUUGAAAAUGGAUUCGAUCGUGUUUCUUAAUUUGUUUUUAUUAUUAUGCCACAUGGCGUAAUAUUGUUGAACACCGAGAAGGUCAACCACCACCAAAGUUUAUUCGGAUAAAACAAGGGUGUUUUUUUUUUUUUUUUUUUUUUUUUUUUUUUUUUUAGAGAUAGAUAACAUGCUACCCGCUUCGUUUAUAUACUUUUUUGACUAAAUUCCCAAAAAGAGAAAAACAAAAAUAAAAUCUUUCACUGCGGUCCCAUAUUUCAAUUAUUCUGAUUUUUUUAGGCAUUUUGAUACAGUGGUAAAGUGUAGGAUUAAAAUUGAUGUGACUGUUUUAUUUAAAGGAAUAAUUGAAAUAUGGGACCGCAGUGAAAGAUUUUAUUUUUGUUUUUCUCUUUUUGGGAAUUUAGUCAAAAAAGUAUAUAGUAGUUCUACUUGGGGAUAAGUUUAAUUACUAUACCAAAGCCCUGUCAAAAAUCAAAAUAUUCAACUUCUCAUUUUCCAAAUCAAAAUUUGAGGCGAGUUCGCAUAAAUUCUCCAAUACACUUCCUCAAUUUCCUCUCUACUUAAAAAUUGACUAAAUGGAAUUGUUGAAUUCCUUUAAAACACGCGUAAGGGAAUAUGACAUGAAAAAGAAUUUAAAAAAGAAAAAAAAGGGGUGGUUGACAUUCACACAAUACAAAUAACCAAAAACCGCGUGUUACCUGGGAAUGCAUUAAGAAAAAGAGAAAAGUGUUCCUCAAAAGUCCUCUUGACAACCUUAUCUCAAAGUGCUUAUCUACUCAAAAAGCAUGAUCUCACCAAUGACAAAAUCAAAUUAUUUAAAAGGUAAUUAAAUUUACUAGUGGUUUUGUUAGAUUUGGUAGUGUAUACCAGGUCUUUAGCAAAUAAAAACUACAGUCGAGGGGCCUCCGUAACAUUUGUCGCCUAAAUUGUGUUACUGUUAGUUCAAUUCAUACCCACCAGUGAGAUGCUGCUACUAAUUAUUGGAACACCAGUAGCAGCAGCCACAAGUUAAAAAGGGGGAGAUCUCUUUUCCCUUUGGUAAAGUAAAUAGUGGCUUCGCUGUUGCGCGAAGCACUUGCAACUAAAAAGGUGCUUCUUACAUAGGUACUCAAUAUUCAAUAUUUGGUAGUGAGAGUGUGCUUCGCCCCACACGCACGCGCGCACACACACACACACCCCUCCAAGUGGCUACUAGUAGAAGUGGUGGUGUUGUUGUAUGUUGACAUGCGAAUCGAUAUUUGUUUUGAGUCUCUUGGAACCACUCAAUGACUUGGAGCAUGUGGCUAUGGCUAACUCAGUCACAUGUCAACCAAUCCAACGAACGGAUGGUCGCUAUGCAAGGUAGAGAAACUAGUGCCUGUUCUUCUUAAUGCUUUUGCUUUUGAUUACAGUUAUCUUUAAUAAUAUGUUCUUUUAAUUUAAAAAGCUUGGACAGUUUUGCUGUAGUAGUAAGCAGGUUGUAGUUUUGUCACUUUUGUGUUCCAAAAAAAAAAAAGCAACGGUAACUUUGAGCUUCUGUAUCUACUGUAGAGAUAAGUUGUUAGUAGUAGAGCUUGAUAUAAUACUUCUUAUAAUAGCAUUUCUCAUACAACAUCAUCAAGCAAUUAAUAGUGUGUCCUAUAGCAAGAUCAAACUAGACCCAUUAACAUUUGAUAUUAUUUCAAUCGCUUUAUUUUAGUGCGACAUGGUACUAGCAAGUUGCCCUAUAUAGCAGUAUAUAUUGAGAGUUUGGAUACUAAGUUUCGAAUGGUAACCUAAGGGUCCAGUAUUAUUAUCUGGACCCUUAUUUGCUCAGAAAUAUAUCAAUUUGGACAUUUGCUAAGCAAGAAGUACCUAUCCAGGCCUUCAAAAGUAGAAUCUUCAGCUUGAGUAUAUUGUAAGUUGAUGAAGCUUAGUAAUUAAACUUGUAGAUCAACUUCUCUACUGUAAAGAGUAAAAUAACAAUAAUAAUAAUAAUAAAUAAUUUACAAACUAAAAGUCUAAAAUUUUUUGGUAUCACAGAAAAUGAGAAAAGAGUCCCCAAAAGCAGUUUAAGUUUUAACUUGAUGGGGCUAUCAAAAUUUUACUGCAGCUAGUAAGAAUCCUCCAUAGCUCAAAAGAGUCACAAAAGCUGCUUCUUUGAGAAUCUCAGUAUGCAGUGGAUGGUUUGGUAACCAACAUAAAUGACUUGGGUUUGCUUUAUUUAAUUAAUUAAUGGAGACUCACUUAACAACUAGCUACUAUUAAAGUAUCCAUCUCCUAAAGAGUGCCCAGCAUUGCACAUGAAGAUAAAGCACAACUGUAACAGAAAAGGUAAUGCAACCCACUUACACAUAACCAUUAAAUUAAUUAAUUAGAACUAAGCAAUAAAAAUAAUAGUAGGGUAUUAUUAUUGGUGGGUGUGAAUUAUUAAGGUAAGGUAACCACCCCCCCCACCAUGUGAAUAAUGACAAUGUCAAACACCAAACACACCCCCAUGUUUAUGGUCUUCGCACGCAAAGUCCACUCCAUACACUUACUCAAUUCUCUUUUCCUCCACACUACCAAAACGUGCACUUAAUUGACACCUAAAGCCUUUGAUAAAGUCAUCUGAACAACAGCUAUACUCGUUUCCUCUCAAAGCCUUGAAUCUUAGUUACUUCAUCAACUUGUUCUCUAUUUGGUCUAAGACUCGAAAUUAAGAUUAUUUUUGAAUCGUUAUCUAUCUAAUAUGAAUUAUUUAUCUGUUAUUAAGUUGUCUCUCGUGUUGUCUCCAUAAUACGACAACGAUCGAUGAUGUGGAAGUGUGACAUGUUGUAUUUUGAUGGCAUUAAUUGAUCAAUGUGGCACAAUGUUCAUGUGUUAGGGCCAACCCAUGUUUGAGAAGAUAAUCAUGAAGAUAAUUUUUUUUUUUUUUUUAAGGUAUGUGAGAAAAGAUGUAGAUUUAUCUAAAAAUAGAGAGAGAGAGAGAGAGAGAGAGAGAGAGAGAGUACAAGUGUGUGGGGGGCGUUAUCUAGUGGUCACCUUUUUCCAUCUCAUCUUUUUUAUUCUUUUUGCAUUAAAAUGUGAGGGGAGGGGGUUAGUUUGCUUGCAAACAAAACAAACUCGUGAGCCGAAAAAGAACCUGAUCCACGCCCCUUUCCUUCGAGGUGGAGAAAUCAACUACCACUUCCCAGACGGAGAGAGAGAGAGAGGUUUCCAUACUCUUCGUCUUUUUCUUUUUUUUUUUCUUAUCUUACACUUUACAACAAAAUACAAUAACCAAGUUUAACACUCUUGUUAAUACCGACCGUCCCUAGUACAAAUGGUAAAAGACUUAUGGUUGAUAUUCGAGAUCUCAAGUUCGAAUUUUAUCCAUCGGCUUGGUGGUUGGUAUCUGAAAUUCGAAGUUCGAAUUUUAGUUGAUUUACAUUUUUAGUUAAAUUUAUUUAAAAAAAAAAAAAAAAAUUUAGCUAAAAAUAUAAAUCAAUUAGGAUUCGAAUUUGGAACAAAAGAUACCAACCACCGAGUGCUUUGCAACAAGCGCCGAGGACGGUAGGUUAAAAAAGAAAAAAAAUAAUUUGUUGAUUCAGUAUUUAAGAAUAUUAUGGGAAACUAACAGGCUUAACAAUGAAUGAUUAAAAGAAUCCAAAGAAUCAAUGGUAAUUAAGCUGUAACAAUAAUAAUAAUUCACAUAAUAAUUCACAUAACAAGUUUUUUUUUUUUUUUUUCGGUCUAUAGAAUUCUAAGAAAUUUCACAAGUAAAUUGAAUAAAAUUCUAUGAUUAAUAAUGGCAAUCCACCAAAGCCGGGGCGAAGAAGACGAGCGCCGGCUUCGCCCCGAAGGCGAAGACGGGGGGAUUGGGGUAGCCGUUGGCGGCGGCGGGGGCGUCGUCGUCGGCCGGAGCGGGGAGGUUGAGAUCCAGCGGCAGCGGCAGCGGCGGCGGCGGCGGCGGCGGCUGCUUCUUCGCCUCCGCCGGGGGCUCCGCCGCGCUCAGCGGGCGGUGCCGCCGCAUGUGGCCGCCGAGCGCCUGCCCGGAGGCGAACUCCGACCCGCAGAUAGAGCACUCGUGAACCCUAAUUUUGUUGUUGUUGUUGUUGUUGUUGUUGUUGAUGAUGCUGUUGUUGUGGGAUGUAUUCGGCUUCGGCGGUGGAUCGAUGGAUGGGUGGAGGGGGAGGGGGAGGGGGAGGGUGAUGGGGAUGUCCUUAUCGUGCUCUCCGUCGCCGUCGUUGGGAUUGGGGUUGGGGAGAGGGGAGGCUUUGGGCUUGUCGUCGGUCCUCGGCUUCUUGUGGCUGGCGCGGUGGCCGCCGAGGGCUUGGAAAGAGGGGAAGCUCUUGUUGCACGUCUUGCACUCGUAGGCGGAGGGGGCGGCGGCGGCGGCGGAGGAGGAGUCGGCGGAGGAGCGCGGCCGGGGCGGGGAUCUCUCGGCGGGCGACGGGACGGGGGCGGCGCCGCCGUGGGCGAGGAGGAUGAGGCACUGGGCCAUGUCCUCGUCCUCAUCCGUGGCAGCGGCGGAGGUGCUGGAGCUCUCGGCGGCGGCGGCGGCGGCGGCGGCGGCGGAUGAUGACGACGAUGACGACGACGAUAGGGUUGGGGGGCGGAGGCGCUUGGUGCGCUUCCCCUUCACGAGGGCGCCGAGCAGGGAGGAGUCGACGCUAGGGUUCCCUUCUAGGGUUUCCAUUUUUGCUCCGUGAGAGAGAGAGAGAGAGAGAGAGAGAGAGAGAGAGGCGUUAUNGGAGGGGUUAGGGAGAUGUAAAAGGGUGUAACCGUUUUUGAUUUUGGGGGAGCUCACACUGGAUGGUACACACUCCUACACGGGAGUUUAAAUUAUAAAUAGAGAGAGAGAGAGAGAGAAAAGGGCGCAAGAGAAAAAUGUGGAGGGUAAAGUGGGAAAUGUGCGAGAUUAGGGGAGAAGGACAUGUGGCGUAAUUAGGUGGAAACUGGAGCGGUGUGGAGUGAACAACAAAGAGAGAGAGAGAGAGAGAGAGAGAGAGAGAGAGAGAGUGGUGUACUGGUGUGGACUGUGGAGAAAUAAAUAUUAAUUAAAAUUUUUAAUUUCUAUAGAUAGGGAGUGAGGAGAUGGGGGAGUUGGUGUUUGCUAUUUUUUGAGCAUUCUAUAGUGUGUGUACACUAGGCAUGACUAAGAUUUAUGGUUUAUUAGCAGUAGAAAUUAAAAUCUAAUCCGAAGCUUAUGUUAUUAAAAAUUAUAACUUUUAAAAAGUCCUGUAUAGUUUAGAAGCUUAUGUUAUUAAAAAUUAUAACUUUUAAAAAGUCCUGUAUAGUAUGUAAACAUUUUGACGGCCAUCCUGAUUUUGAUAUUUUUGAUCGGCUUAAAGGGAUCAGCAUUUUGUCUUAUAGUGAAAGACCAGAUCGAAUCGAGCUACAAUUGAGAUCUUCUAUAUCUAUACGCUUAAUUAAAUGAAUUAGGUGUAAUUUUCUAACGGCUUAAAAUUUUGAAAUUAAUGAUAGUGCCAAAGUUCCACAAUCUUUAGGCUACAAUGUUAGGUUAUUAUAUAGUGUACACAGAUGAUGUGCUUGUACACCAGGUGCAUGGACUUGGUUUAUCUUGUGAAGAGGGGGGAUUGGUUGGCCAAUCAUAGGUGGGGAAAUGACUCCAUAAAUGUAAGGAAGUGGACCACGAUAAAGCCAUGCUACCUCUCCUUCACUAUUCCUUGAAAACGAAUAUAUGUGUGUGUGUGUGUGUGUGUGUGUGUGUGUGUGAGAGAGAGAGAGAGAGAGAGAGAGAGAGAGAGAGAGAGAGAGAUUCGGUUGGGUGCUUUGAAGCAAACCCAUUUCUUUUGUGCAACGAUUCGUGUUGAUAGGAUUGGACUACAAGCCAAGAACCACAAGAUUUUGAGCUCAUAUUUUCCCAUUUUUAUCAUUAUUCUUUUUCCCCCUUAAAUAUAUAUAUAUAUAUAUAUAUAUAUUGUAAUAUUUUUACAAAGCUUGGGUUGGUCCCCAAUGCUAAACAAGGGGUUGAAGCAACUCCCUUAAAACUACUACUAGUAGUAAGGAUAUAGUGGGCACUGGUACUAGUGGUGCUGGUCUAAGCAACUGCCACAUUUGUGGCUACUAUGAACUCCAAUAUAUAUAUAUAUAUAUAUAUAUAUUUGUCUCCAUAUAUAUGCGCAAAAAAUAAAUAAAAGAGUAAAGUUAAUGCAUUCAUCUAUAUUUUCUGCAAGUAGUUGAUGACAAGCGAAGCAUGAUAAGAAAGUAAUGAACUAAUCGAUCUUGUUAGGUUGCAGGAACUUCUCCUUUUCUUUGGCAGAUGGGAUGUACUGUGCAUGUACGCGUCGUCCGAUAAUAAAAGCACUUAAAUAAACUAAUAUUUUCGUUAAUAUAUAGUGUAGGAACAUAUAUACAACUCUUCAAUGGUGACUUGUUCUUCUUCCGCUUUUUUUUUUUUUUUUUUGUUUUUUGCAAAGUCGGAUUAGUAUUAUUAUAAGUAGAGUGUGGUGGGUGUGCAAACUCCGUGGCAAAAGAGAGUUGUACAUAUUUGUGAUUUGUUGGGGACAAGUCAACUAGAAGUUAGGAGAUGAGUGGGGUUAAGUAGGGGAGAUACUUGGCGUAACCAAUUGUUGUUUAAUUAGUUGUGUGAGGCACGAAAGAGAAACUCCAACUUAGUUUCUUUCUCUCUUUCUCUCUCUCUCUCUCUCUCUCUAUUUGAUAUCAUAUGCUACUUAGGAGGUGGUGCAAGUAAGGGAUCGGUUGGUGGAGAGUUUGGCUAAGUCCAUUCCCUUCACUCCUCUCCAAUCCGAACUGCAUACAUAUCCUUAAUUUCUAUUACUAUAUUUAUCUGUGCAAUAGAUAUUUGUUCCUACACUAGCCCAACCUUAACUAUUAUUGGAAUAGUUAGGCUUGUUAUCCUAACUUUAUUUAUUGGUGUCACAAAUUGAUUGCCCUCGGAUCGUCAUAAAUUUCACAUCCAUUAGGUCAAAAUUUCUCUCUUUUUUUCCCACUGCUGCUCGUAAAUCAUAUGUUUACAUGUACUAUUGUUUCGUUCGAUCCAUAUGAUCGAGUCAGUAUAUAUAGCAGCUAAUUAUAAAUCCCUUCAGUUCAGUUAAUACAACAAGUUAACCUUUCACUCCUUGUCUUAAUUACAUGCCAAAUCUAACUAGGCUGUUCUUCAAUCUGCACAUAUAUAUAUAUUCUGUCCUACGUGAGGUUAAAUCGACAUCUCUCCUCUAAACUCUCAAAUUCGAACCUAGCUUAAUUGUUUUCUUAUUAUAUCAAUCUUUUUAAUGACGCAGAGUCGUCAGAGUUCGCGGGACUACUCACUUAAUUAGCUUGUGAUCCACUUCAUGCCAGCGAGUUGGUUGCAGCAAAGGAGGGGCUUCCAUUUGGGUGACAGAUAAUGUAAGCUUCCACCGUUAGCCAGAGACAGAUUCCGCGAUAAAUUAGUUCGGCAGAGAAGCUUAAAAAAUAAAUAAAGAUCCAUCCAUUAUUAGAACCAUAAUAUAAUAUAAGGAACAAAUUUAAAUAAUUAUUUGAUUAGUUAAUUAAUUAAUGAUUUGGGAUCAAGGAAACCAGUUCCCCCAUUAGAGUCCUAAUGCAUGAUUAAUAUACAGAUAAGUAUUUGGUUAUUAUUGUUGGCUCGCAAUUAGUGGCGUGGGGGUUGCCUUUUCUUAAUGUGUAACCCUUAAACCUUUGAUUAAUGGUGGGUACUCUUAUUCUUCCGAGAUGUAAUAUAUCCCAUGUACAUGUGCUCGAAUCUUAAUUUAAGGACCUGUUUGGAUACAUGAAAUUUUUUUCAAAGUACAAUUAGAUAUCUACAACAGUAUAUGUAAACUGUGAUCCACCACCAAUUCACACUUGAGCUCAGCUUUGGCCUAUAUUUACACUCUUGAGCAAGUCGGUUUUUGGGGGAUCCAUUUAAUUACUUUUUGGGUCCCCACAAGAAUCCUCUCCCUCCUUUUUAUUCUUUUGGUGAGAAUCAGAUGUUUAAUUUCCUACAAUCCAAUUCAGAGUUUACUCUCACAUCCUAUUCAGAUGUCUUAUCGUUGGGAUAUAUACUAAUCAUUUAUUAUUUUGUGUCAAAUUAUAUCCCUAUAAAUAUGCUAGGUUUACAUCGCUUUAAUUUCGUUUUAUGGUGCACUAGUUAGUUAAACAGCAGGAGUUCUUAGUAACCACAAUUAAUCUUCUUAAGUAACUUUUGGAGCUCGGAAACGUUGAGAACAAAAUGUACGUGUUUGUUGUAUUUUUGUGACACCGUAACCUUUCUUUAACGAUGGUGACCUCACACCGCACCUCAUACGUAAUCUCCGCCACCCAAAACUUUAAUUAAUUACUAACCCAUGAGACGUUUUUUUUUUCCCUUUUCACCUGCACCUUUUUCCGCUCGGAAAAGCACUUCUAGGAGCUGCACUUCUGCGUGCGUUGGAGAUCACGUGGAAAUCAUGCGAGUAAAUGGAGUGGCAUUAUAUGCACAGGGUUACUUUAGAUGAAAGUGAGUUAUACACUUUUUAAGCUUGGGUUUUUUUUUUUUUUUUUUUUUCCCCUCAUGUGAUACCCGUUUAGUUGAUUAAUUGCACCCUUUUUUUCUUUUUUUUUUUUGCUAAUUUAGUUAACAGUAGAUCUAAGCGAAUUAUCAUUCUUUAUAAGGUUUAGCUUGAAUGGUUGGACCGGUCGGGUUCUAAUAAUAUCAAUUAGACAAUGGUCAGAUUGGGUUAAGUCACGUUGUCAAUUAAUUUGUUCUCGUUCUUUGGGGGCCCGGCCCGAAGCGAGAGCAUUUUGGGCUCUAUCACGGCCUAAUUGGAUGGAUGGUCUCUGUUUGAAUGGUACAUAUUUACAAAUUACAAGCCAGUUCUAAUAGUAGAUUGGUAAAUUUCAAAAUAGUUUUUGAAUUAGAAAUUGUGAAAAUUGAGAGAUACCAAGGGUCCUAAAUAGUGAAAAUUGACUUGCCAUAAAAAUGAUUGGACAUUACUAUAAAAAUAUCAAACUUGUUUUAAUUAUAUGAAACAAUUUUUAUUCUCUAAAAACUUAAGCUAUCAGAUGAUGGUAUUUUUAUAUUUAUAUUAUAUAUCACUUAUGUGGCUUAUGACAAUCUUUUAUCAUACUAAAAGGCCAAAUAUUCUUGGAGCUCAAAUACCUUAUUUUUUGAAAUAUAUGAAUAAUGAAGGUUCGAACUAUUGAUCUCAAAUAUAAUGCUCGCGGAGUAGUCGUUGUAACUGUCCAAAACAUAUUAUUAACAUUUAGUAGGAUGGACCGACUGUCUCUAACGCAAGUGGCAAAGAAUUUGGUGAUUGAUAUCUGAUGUCCUAAGUUCGAAUCCUAGCUGAUUCACAUUUCCAGCUAAGUUUAUUUCUAGAAGAAAUAAACGAAGCGGGUAACAUGCUACCCUUCUUUCAAAAAAAAAAACAUUUAGUCGGAUGAUACGCACCAUUCAGAAAUAGUCUCAUAUACCUUGAAGUAUAGAAUUUUUACUAUUAUAAACUUGAGCCUCAUCAUAAUUUCAAGAGCGAGCCAUUCCAUUGUAAGAACCUCCAUACUUAAUCUUUAAGUACAAGGUGAGUUUGGAUAAUCUAUUUUGGGCAUGACCGCAUCGACUAUUAUCAUUCUUGGAAAAUACUCUACUCACUUGAAAUAAAAACUAUCUAAUUUUAGUAAUUCAUUAACCUCGAUCUAUUAAACACAACACUAGGGAUUAAUUAUCCAACUUCACUACAUUUAUUUCCUCACCACUUUGAUCCCUUCAUCAUCAUCUUAUAAAACAAAGAAUAUUUUUGACCCUUCGCCCACAUGUGCAAAUGGCGUUCGUGGUACUCUCAUCCUUCUUCGUGUUCGUUCUAAUUGGAGGUAAGUGUUUGGCCUCUUUAUAUAUAUUUCUACAACAUGUACGUAGUUUAUGGUUUAUUUGCUCCCCUUUGUAAUUGGUAUUAUCGAUUCUAAUAUAAAAUAACAACGUAGGAAUAGGUUAAUUGUUCACAUGGUAUAGUCCAAAUGAAUUAUUCUACAUGCGCCAGCGAAAACAGAAACAUAAAUAUAUAGCUUCAUUGAAGUGUAUAUCAAAUGCGGAGAAUCAAACGCGCGACCUUGAAGAACUGGAGAGCUAGGACAUAAUCUCCACAAUUACUGGUAUAUAUGGUUAUUCGUUGAUUAAACGCUAGAUAACAAACUAAUGUCCAUCAACGAUCAACAGUGUAAAUUUUCAUCUCAGGUUCGAAUGCGGCGACUAUAACCAUAACUAGCCAGUGCAAUUACACGAUCUGGCCCGUGAUCUGGUCGAAUCCGGGUUCGCCCGGUUUCCCCAACAUGUUCACAAGCAUCAAACUCCGCACAACCGAGUCCAAACACUUUAACAUCCCACACGGGUCGGGCUGGAUCUGGGCCCGGACCCACUGCACCAACUUCGGUAAUUCGUCGAGCACAUUUGUCUGCGCCACAGGCAACUGCCGCACCGGAGCAUUCUCCUGCGGCACAGGCCUGUCGCCGCCCAUCACCUUUGUUGAGCUCAAUAUUGGACCGUCCGGCAAACCUAACGGCGACGCGUACCAAGUCAGCGUCGCCGCGGGGUUCAACGUGCCGGUUGACGUCACCCCGCGAUAUGGACCGGAUUGUAGUAAUGCCGCGUGUGCGACGGACAUCAAUGCGGUGUGCCCGCCGGAGUUACGGGUGGUGAGGCGGGCCGGAGGGCCCACGAUCAGGUGCAUGAGCGGGUGCCAGGCCUUGGGGGACGAGGCCGACUGUUGCCUGGGCCGGUAUUGGGGGCCCGAUAAAUGCAGGCCCACUAAGUUUGCACUCAUGCUCAAGAGCCUGUGUCCCUCGGCCAAGAGCUUCGUUUACGAGAAUGCUUUUCGUUACUGCAGUGGGGGUUGGGAAUAUCUCGUGACAUUUUGUCCUGAAUAUUAGAUAAGAUGUAAUAUUUCGAUUUCAAGUGUUGUUUCCAGUUUACAGAAAAAACAUAUGGGUUAUUCAGGAAUGAUGAUGCCCCGCGUUUGAUUUUGUCCUUGGUAUUAGUUAUUCGCGCGUUCAGGUGGGUUGAUUUCGUAAAAACAAAUAGAGCUGAAAAAAUAAGAAACAAAAAAAAAAGAAUACAAAUAAAAAAAAUUGGAGAAGAAGCAGCUGCAGCUGCAGUUGAAGUAAAAAUAUAAGAAUAAAAAUAUAAAAAGAAUAGAAAAUGAAUAAGUGAAAAAUUAUAAAAAUAAUAUAUUAUUUAAAGAAAUAAUAAAAAUUGAGAAUUAAAAUAUCACAUGUCUUAUAGUUCGAGGCAUAAAUUAUAAUUAAUUAAAGUUUGAGGACUAAGCGUCACGUACCUCAUAGUUUGAAUAAGAAAAUAUAACUCAUUAAAAUUUGAGAACUUAAGUGUAGCGCGUCUUAUAGUUUGACUACCAAAAGCAUAAUUUAUCACUUUUAUAUUUUAAUUUUAUUUCAAAUGUAGACAAAGUUAAGCAUGGAUCAAUUUUGUUAUUACUUUAUGUAAUUUUUACAACUAAAUUUAUUAAAAUAAAUACUUAAUUUAAACUCCAAAUUUCUCUUUUAUUUUUUAUUGUACAAUUUAUAUUUAAUUGAUCAAUAUUAUAAAAUUUAAAUUUAUAUUCAAUACAUGCAAUGUAACUAUUUAAAAGUCAUAUAUAAAUAAUUAUAUUGUUUUAAAUUUUUAUAAGGAAAUAAAAAAAAAAUUAGAUUGAAUUAAAAGAAAAAAAAUCGGAUUCCUCAAUCCAAAUCAAAGUAUCAAAUAAAAAAAAAAGGACUUGAGCCACUCCCACCCCCACCCAACUGAGCCCCAUACUCACCCCCAACCUCACCCCCUCCCUUUGCCCCUCCAACUCCGUGCCACAUGGAUAACAAAAGUGAGGAUUCAUUAUAUGUAAUAGAUAUGUGUGUAGUAAAAGUGGGGAUUUAUUAUAUAUAAUAGAUUGAAUAAAAAAAAAAAAUCCGAUUCUUCAAUCCAAAUUAAAGUAUCAAGUAAAAAAAAAAGAACUUGGGCCACUCCCACUCCCACCCAACUGAGCCUUAUACUCACCCCCAAUCCUACCCCCUUCCCCUGCCCCUCCAGCUCCAUGCCACGUGGAUAACAAAGUGAGGAUUCAUUAUAUCUAAUCCACCUCCCACCCAACUGAGCCUUAUACUCAGCCCCAAACCCACCCCCUCCCCCUGCCUCUGCCCCUGGCCCUGCCGAGGAAUUCUACACUGUCACACUUAUACCACGUCAUCAAUAACAAACCAAUCACAUCCCUUCUUUUCAAACAAAAGUACAAUAAAAAUAUUUUUUUACAAUUGUGAUGGGACAUAUAUCUCUAAAAGAAAAAUUUUGAUUGGUUUGUGACGCCACGUCACCAAUGCACCCGAUGCAUUCUAGAAUUUUUCGCCCCUGCCCCUCUAGCUCUGUGCCGCGUGGAUAACAAAGUGAGGAUUCAUUAUAUGUAGAGUAAAUGAGUAAUAAUUCAAUACACCAUGUAAAUUUUGAUCAUUUAUUUUUUAAAUAGAUGGUUGAAAUAUAAUAUGAUUAUAAAGGCGACAUACUAUUCUGGCAUAGGUACCAUUCACCAGGUACCUAUUUAAAAGGUAUUUUGGUUUUAGAAAAAUAUUUUGGUGUACAAAACUAGUUUUAUCCAACUAAAAAUACUAUAACCUUCUCAAAUACCUACAAUAAUAGUUGGACUUUAAAUUACAACUAAACUGUAAAUUUAAAUACAAAUCAACAUAAAAAACUUAAUUAUAAAUCAAAUUCAACUUUUAAAUAUAAAACAUAAAUUUUAAAUAAAACUUUCAGUUCAAAUUCAAAAUUUUAAUUUAAAUCAAAAAUUAAAAUUUGGCUUUCAGAUUAAAANACCUAUUUAAAAGGUAUUUUGGUUUUAGAAAAAUAUUUUGGUGUACAAAACUUAAAAUUUGGCUUUCAGAUUAAAAGUGCAAGAUAGAUUCAAAAUUUAAAAGUUUAAUAUAAAUUUUGAAAUUAAAAUUUUACAUUACAGUACCAACUUCAAAACUUAAAUUUAAAUUCAAUAUUUUUUUGAGUUGGAUAACAAAUUGGGUAUUAUCUAAUAUGGUAAGUAACAAAACUAAAUAAGAUACUUAAUAUUAUAUGAUGCUAACAAAUUUAGUAUAUAUUACUAAUUUUUUUCAAUAUUGUCAUAUUAACUAAUUCAAAUCGGUAACCUGUUUAAUAGGUUACUUUAUGUAAAAUACAAUUAUACCCUUUACUAAUUAAGAGUUUGAUUUUAAUACUUAUAGUGUAUUGAAGUAUUGCUCUUAUAUAUAAUCCACUCCCCACCCAACUGAGCCUUAUACACACCCCCAAUCCCACCCCCUCCCCCUGCCCCUCUAGCUCCGUGCCACGUGGAUAACAAAAGUAAGAAUUCAUUAUAUGUAAUAGAUGUAAUAGAUAUGUGUAAUAAAAAUAAGGAUUUAUUAUAUGUAAUAGAUUGAAUUAAAAAAAUAAAUCGAUUCUUCAAUUCAAAUUAAAGUAUCAAGUAAAAAGAAAAGGACUUGGGCCACUCCCACCCCCACCCAACUGAGCCCCAUACUCACCCCCAACCCCACCCCCUUUCCCUGCUCCUCCAGCUCCUCCGUGCCACGUGGAUAACAAAAGUAAAGAUUCAUUAUAUGUAAUAGAUAUGUGUGUAACAAAAGUGAGAAUUCAUUAUAUGUAAUAGAUAUGUGUAUUUUUAUUCUCCAAUGUGUGAAAGAGAGUCCCGUCCUAGUCAUUUAUAGAAGCAAUUAAGGACCAUAAUUUAUUUGUAAUCUGCUGUAGAUAGAAAGGAGGAUACACAUUAAAUAUGCGGUAACAUGGCACACUGCUUCAAUUACAUAACGUCCAUUUCACACUUUGCAAAUGACCCAAUAAUGGCGCACCAAAUCCUUUUAAGUUAAUACUUUCUUCUUUACCAUAACCUUAUAAAUUCACAUCCUCUGCUUACUCCCCUUUUACAUUUUCACCACAACCCUCUCCUUAGCCAUUUCGCAUUUCAAAUCUCCCUUGUGUCUUCAAUGAUGGACUCUAAAGCCUUCUCCUUUCGCUUCUUCUUUUUCUUCAUAAUUUUCGAAGGUAAGGAACAAACGAAAAAGUUUAUAGCUUGUACUCGGUGCAUCUGUAUAAUACACAUUGUGCUCACGAAAAUACAGUGCAUAAAUAUAAAAGUAAAGUGGAGUGUAAAACAAUUUUGCUCAAAUUUUUGGUUCGGUCUCAGGUGCGCUUGCAGGAACACUAUUAAGUGUAAGAAACAACUGCACGUACAUAGUCUGGCCCGCGGUCUUGACGAAUCCAGACACACCCAGCCCGCCGGCAGAGUACUCGGGCUUUGAGCUCCCGGUCCAAGGGACUGCCUUCCUUCACAUGCCGGCGGGCUGGUCAGGCCUUUUGUGGGCCCGAACUCUCUGCGCCGUCAACAGCUCUGGCUCCUUCCUCUGCGCCACCGCCGACUGCCGCACGGGGCGGCUCGACUGCCGCGCUGUGCCGUCAGCCCCUGUCACGCUCAUCGAAUUCAGCCUCGGUGCGGCCGGCGGGAAAAAUGACGCAUACGACGUGUCCAUCGCCGCUGGUUUCAACGUGCCGGUCUCCGUGGAUCCACCGCCCAGGUCGCCGUCGUGCACCCCCGCGGCGUGUCCGAUGGACGUGAACGCAGUGUGCCCGCCGGAGCUGCAAAAGGUCAGCGGCGACGGGCACGUGAUCGCAUGCAUGAGCGCAUGCCAGGCCUUCAGCGACCCGGCGGACUGUUGUUUGGGCCAGUACAAGGACCCAUCCAAGUGCAAGCCCACCAAAUAUGGCCAGAUGUUUAAGCAUGCAUGUCCUAUGGCCGUGGGGUAUAUUUAUGACAAUGCUACUCGUUAUUGCCAAGGGGGUUCUGAUUAUUUGGUCACAUUUUGUCCUCAAAUGUAACUUUCCCAUUUAAACUCAUCAAGUUACAUUUCAAUUAUUCUUUGCACAGUUGGAGCAUGUCUAAAAGUGGCAAAUUUUGCUCCAUCUUCGCCGUUAUUUCUUGGUAAACUGCAUGAGGGGAACCUGACCUUAAUUUUCAGAAAAUUACACUUUGGUCACGCAACCUUUCAAUUAUUAUAAUAAAUUUUGGUCGCGAAUAAUGCAUAUGAGCUGUAAAUAUUACGACAUCUUCUACAGUUAUUUAUCCUAAUUAUUGAGAAAUUCAGUGCAUUUCAAUCAUAAACAACGACAUCUUCGAAUUUCAACAAGGAAAUUAUAUGCAGGAAAGCCAAAAUGAUGUCUCAGAAAAGGAGUUCCAUGUUAACCACAUCUCCUUUCAGCCUUCUUGUGGAGGCGGUGCCGCGAAUGGUGCCGGUGCUGCGAAUGGCGGCGCCGGCGAUGCUGCGAAUGGUGGUGGCGACGCAAAAGGCGGCGCCUGUGUUGCACCAAAGAUACCUGGAAACCAAGUCACAACAAGAAGCUCUUACUGGAUUUGAAGGAUAAAGAGAAAUGCUAAGUCCUCGGCUAUGUGAACAAGAGAGAAUGAAGCAAAGAGUUUUGUUAAUUAUGAGAAGAAUUAAUGGCUAACCACAGAGGAGAAGGUUAUCAGGCGGCGGGCGCUCCUUGGCUGGGUUGGGAUCAGGAUCGUGGACUCGCAAGUACAUCUCCUCGCCUAAGUACCAAUUCUCAAGGAUCUGCGAGCGCAGGUUCCACAUGCCCGGGUUGUCGAGGUAUGCAUAUACUGCUGUCCAUCCCUUAGGAUACACCUAAAUCCAGAAGAUAGUUAGUUUCAGGGGCAGAGAGAGAGAAAGAGAGAGAGAGAGAGAAACCUGAACGGUGGAGCGCACGACAGGAUCGAGUAAAUUGUAGGUGUCUCUUGAGGCAGGGGUCCAAUCGCCGUCACCAAAUCUUCAAAUUAACCAAAUGAUUCAAUCAGUUUGGUCCUCUUACACAAGGUGUCAAAAGUAACAUUUUAAAGUUCCUACUAUAGCUGAUUUUUUUGAUUUUUCUGUAGAAAUGAACUAACUGAAAAAUAGUAUUCAUAAGAAUGUGAUUCUUACCCAACCACAUAGAAGCCGAAACCAUCAAGAUGCCAUGAAUCCAUGAAAUCAAUUUCAUUCUUGAAAACAAUCUCCAGCCAACUCUUAUGAACUCCAGUGACCACCGAAGUCCCCAGCGCGGCUUCUUGAUUUACAGAGCUAGUUGGGAAGGCAUCAAGCUGGUAGACCCCGCUACCGUUCACAAAGUAGUCAGCAAGUUUGAGUGGGGUUGAGGGUGUCAUGUAGGAGACAUUGUUCACGGUGUAGCAGCGAUGGUUAUUCAGUUCUGCUUUAGAACCAACCAAGAUAAAUGUCUUUGAGAUAUUAGCAUGUCUCACGUUGAAUGUGCCCUGUGGGUUGGGCCUCGCAGCCCCUGCCGUCAUGUUCCACCUUCAAAACCAUAGUCAAGAAAUAGUUAACUACCUUCAUAUGAUUAAAUUUCACCGGACAUGAAAAAUAGUUGGCAUCAAAGCUUCGAAUCAAUAACUGAAGGCAAUACCUUAAUUGUUAAAUUUUUCGCAAUUUAAAGAAUUACCAUUCUUUCGUUAUAUUCGUAAUUUGAUGAUGCAGCUAAAUUUCAUUGGCAUAAAUAACACAUGCUCGAAUUUCGUAUUUGAGCAAACAAUGUUCACUCUUUCCAAGUGAAAGAGAUGAGAUUUUCUUAGCACACCUAAUUUGGCAUAUAUAGGUGAAAUUACCUGAUUGACCUCGCCUGAUCGAUGGAGAACUCGCGGUCCAACUGAUCAGGCCCCAGCGGAAGGGGUCCACUUAACUGGGCUUGCGACUUCAUGUAAUGCAGUCUCGCAAGACCAUUGAUGUUAGGGUAAUUGCUAGUAUCAAUUUGCGUUGGACUAGCCACAAUAUAAUAGUCUGAUUCCUGCUGGUUUGCCGUGAAUAAAACAGAAUACGAUUGGCCAACAUGAACAUCAAGUGAGUCCAGCACAAUCUGAUCAGUGUAGGAUCCUUCAGUCUCCACUAAAGUCAUUUGAUGGUCCUGAAUUCUGAAAUUAAAACUCAAUGCAUUUCCAACAUUUGAAAUCCUCAAGCGGUAUGUCUUCCCUGAAAAGAGAAGAAUGGGAAAAGUUAAUAAUAUAAAUACAUAAAGAAAACAAUAGAAAUAUAUAAGAUGAGAUAAUUAACUGCCCUUUUGGCCUGGCUUGUGGAAUAACUCCACUUCAAAAGGCAUUAGAAUUUACAAACCAUGUGCUUGACUAGAUUUUAAAUAAAACUGCAAAGAAAAUGUGCUUCUUUCAACUGCUCACAGUCAAAUGGAACUCCGCAAAAGCUCCAGAUAAACCAAACAAGCCCUACGUACUAAUGAAUUUUAAUAGCUGCUUAUCAGUGUAUGUGUGGGCAUGUAUCAUUUGAGAAAUUACUGCUACUUGGAUGAGACAUUUUAGCUGCUGUAUUUACAAUAGUUAUACUCACCAUUCUCCACUCUAAGGAACUCAUAUUUUCCUCCCCAAACAUUGUUAUAAGGGGCCUUUCCAUUGAUGAGAAUGUACCUUGCAGGAAUAAGACUGAAAUGCUUGCUUGAUACAAUUUGCCGAACCGCCUGCAGACAGCACUACAAACUAAAGGUCAUCCAAUUACAUAUACCUCUUGCACCCUUAGUACCAUCUAGCAGUACUGUGUUGGACAUAAAAAGGAAUCACUUUGAUCAACAAAAUGACAUAUCUUAAUGUCAAGGUAGGCGGCAACAUUCAUAGAGUAAAUCUAGAUAAAAAAGAUACAGGUCUUUUCAGAAAAUAUCUCCAACGAAUUUCAGUAACUUAUUUUUGUUUUGAUUAGACCUGCAGGUCAAUUGGCCCGUAGGCUCACAUGCUCUGAAGAUACUGCCCCGCCCAGUAAUCGAUACCGGAUCCCCAAGGUACCCUCCAGAACUCUUAGCUACUUGGGCUAGAGCUAGAUGGUAUUAACUAACUCUUUUACUUAACAACACUUACAUAGUUAAUUGGAUAAAGGAACAUACCUUGUAAGGAACAUUAUGCCAAUCCCCUACAAGGAGAUCAAAUUCUGCUUCUGGUUUGGGGAAAGGCACAGCGAUCACAUUGCGAUUGUUGACUCUAAUUGGACCGAACCCACCCGCAGCCUUUUGAAAUUUGGUCGAGAGGAAAUAGAAGAAGCUUCCGAUUUGGUCUUUCACUUGAAACACAUAUGUCCAGUUCCUACCAGGCUCUAUGGGACAGUUAGUACCAGAAACUCCAUCUUGCCAUGAGUUGAGUCUCUGUUGUAUGCCGUUCCUGCAUAAAAUAAUCUACAAUUUAGUAGGUUGUAGUUCAUUUCCCCCCUACCUUUCAAAAUUUUAGUAACAGAAAAACCUGGUUUUAAUGCAAUUGUUGCUUUCAUCUUUUAGCCCCACAUGAGUAUGAUUCAAAAAAUUUUUCUAAAUCUUGGUGAUUACGCACAACAUUAUGGAUAUAUAUGAAAAAAAAAAUGAAUUACAGAAGUCAAAGAACAUAUAUUAGCUACAGAAGGGGCUUGCUAUUGCAUAUGAUUUAAUUGGCAAAUAUACAAAAAAAAAAGAAAAAAAAGAAGUGAAGAACAACUUGGAAUAGACAGAAUUUUCUCAAAAAGUUGGAACGAACCAUACAUAUAUAAUUGGCCCUUCACUUAUAGAAAGCAUUGGAGAACAUUGUUAAUUUACACGGUAUAAGAAAAGGAAGUCUUCAAUUUCGAAGUCCCAUUAAGCUUCUAAGUAAACACUCUAUUCAUAUUCCAGAUGUGUUGGGAUACGUAAAAUGUAAUUCAUCUUUCUCUAAUAAUUAAGCUUUUUAAAAAAAUACAUACCAUGUCAUGAGCAAUGGUUCAUCAAUGUUAUUGAAGAUGUUCACAUGGAUCACGUCAUUUGUAGUUGAAUUGAUGAGGGGUCCGGGGAACAUUCCAUUAAUGGUGAUGACCUGAAUGAACGAAUUUACAGUUUUCGAUUAGCAAUUUAACACUUAAAUACGUAUAUUAUUCUAGACAAUAUAAGCAAGGAAACGAUUGUUACUGUAGAAUAUACAUACUGGUUGAUGCAUAAAAACAGGUCUAAUAUUCCAAUCAAAGGAGACAUUCCACUCAAGAAAGAUGUCAAUGGCUCCAGUUCCUGUGGCAAGAAGCGCAAGUACUGAACAUAUUACGAAAAUGCAUGGAAGGCAACACCCCAUGGCUUCGGAUAGAUUUCUUUGCUUAGAGACCUUCUCAUUAGUGCAAAAGGUGCAAGGCCCUUUAUGUUCUAUAUAUGCCAUCUGCAGUUCGUUCUUUGAGAACUGGUGGAAUUCUCCAACAAAAGAGAUGAUAAUAAGCCAAAGGACAAAAAAACACAAGAAACUCUUCCAUUCGUUAAUAACAAUGCAACAAUUAGUUAGUCUUCUAGUAAAACCGGCAAAUACUAGAUAAGCCAAUUAAGCCUGUGCUUAGAUGAAAGUCACACCUCUUAUCUUCUACAAUUUCUAGGAUAACUAAAUACGCAAUCUUGUGUAAUAAGUCUGUCCACAGUUGGCAUUAUUCUACACAGAGGAGUAUGACACUUUAUCGACUAAUGACAGAUGAAUUUCAUGGUCUCAUCAUUAGACAAAAUGAGCAUGGAGUGGGCGGAAAAGUUGGCUUAUUGACAACCUUUCUGAUCAAAUGUGCCAGCAAUGGGAGAAAGCAGGCCUUGCUAUGGUAGCAUUCUCGCAGUCACUGAGUAGCGAUAGUAUCACAAGAAUUAACAAAUUUAUGUCUUCUUUUGCACAAGCUGAGCAAGUUCUAAGAGGGGCCAAUCUAGAUUGAACCAACUAAUACACUUCUCUCAUUAAAUCAACAAUCAACUAGCCCCUCAAUUUUCUGCAGUGUGUCCCCUCUCCUGAACAACUGCAAUUAGGUUCAGAUCACAUGUCGCAAGUUUUUUUUCUGAACUAACACAUACCCACAACAUAGCGGAACAGAAGUAUAGAACAAUACCAUAGUUUUACAACCAGAAGAUCUGCCAAACAGAUAAAAUACUUAAAUUUAACAUAAGGGAAUUCACAAUGAUGAACUGUGCUUCAACUUGAAUUCAGAAUUGUCCAAGAAUUACAUUGUAAAGAUGGUAUAACUAAAAGACAAAUGUACUGAUCCUUCCAAAGACCGAAGACUGAAGUAUUGAUCUUUCCAAAGGCAUAUGCAGCCACUUCUGAAGACAAUUUCAUAUGGAUUUUCCUAGGUACAGCUACCAGAUACACCCAUAGCUUUGAAGUUUCAGCACCUUUCUAGAUCAUUGAUAUUCACAAAAAAAUAUUUAAUAAACUAGAGAUUGCAGCAGUGAUGCACUGUAUAUAACUUUUCAGCGUGCAAUAAGAUAAUAAAGAAGAUUAGAAUGCCUAGCAAAAUUACAAGUCUUAACAACAGAAAAAUCUUAACAAAAUUCCAUAAAUUUUAUCAUGGAUGGGACCAACCACAUCUCUGUGCCCAUCGAAUAGGGAGCCUAGAAGAUAGUUCUAAAAUGCAUUGAAACUAAUUCUCUUAAGAAGAAGAUGAAUAUCUCCAAAAGGCAGCUAUCUUAGAUCCUGAAAUAACACAGCCCACAAAAGACACAGUGGAGCAAUUAGAAAGUAAUCGUUAGAACACUAACCAACAGAAAAAGAGACAGUACUCAUGCAACAGAACAUCAAUUGGCUGAAAAUGCUACUAACCUCUCGGCGUAGCUAACCAUAAUACAAUAAGACCUAAAUUGUCUACAGAAACAAUUUCCAAGGAAAUUGAAGCCGAAUGUAAUUAUCUAAAACAGAUAAUUGGUAAAAGCCCUCCCAAUCCCAGCAAUACCAAAUUGUUCAGCACAAUUAGUAGCUCAGGAGCUCGUCUUACAGGUGUUGAUCCCAUCCUUGCAAUCGCUGGUGAGAUCAUUGAAUGUCUCAAUCUGCUUCUUCCCCCUCAAAAACACCUCAGUGUCUACUUCCAUCCUCAUAUAACCAUCAAACUCCACCGGAACCCCAUUAUUCAGGUUCUUCAUCUCCGUAUACCACUCGCUGUUCUCGCCCCACAAGUCCUUGAAGUCAUCGAGGAAGUGUGUCGUGUACUUAUCCUUCAGAGGGUCAAAAAAGGAUGUGCCUGGCUCAUUGGUCGCGAUGUACAGAUGCCUGCCAUCAUCGAUUUUGUUCCCAAGAGUGGCAAGCAGAGCCUCCGGCGAGGUGUCUGCCGCCAAAUUGGGCCACAGUGCAGUGUUCUUGGCCUUCUCCCCUCGCACCACAUGCACGGCAUCGAAAUCCCAGUUCAUCUUUGAUGCGAUCCCCGACACUAUAUCCAUCAACCGACGCGAUUUCCAGAGGAGGUGCCACGGGCGCUGGAUCACCGACUCUGUCUCCCCCUCGCAAACUCGAUACCAGUAGUUAUCUGGCUCCACCGAUCCAAACUUCCUCAUAAUAAGUGUAUCCUUCACUUCAGCGAGCUUCAUCGGCGUGACGUGGAAGUCCUCGACGAGGUGGAGGCUGAGCCGGUCCUUUUUCCGCCACUGCGUCCAAUCGGCCCAGAACUGGCUGUGAUUGAGAACCGAAGCGGAGUCCCUCAAAUGCUCGAAAUCGAAGUAGAAUCGAAAGUCCUUUCCCUCCUCAUCUUGCUUAGUCGAAGUAUACAUGGAAUUGAGGCAGAUGCUGAGAUCCAUGACCAGUGUUCGGUUGAGAUACUGGGCCUCGCCCAGCGAGCAGAGGAAGCUCCAGAGGUAGUGGUUCAUGCUCUUGCAGCGAUCGCCGCCGCCGACAUAGAUGAGGUACCUGCCGCGGCUGAACCCGGACUCGGACUCCACGACGGGGAGGGUGUCGUUGACGGUGUCGCCGACGACGGGGACGACGACGGCGGCGGCGCCGGCGGGCGCGGCCUCGGAGGCGGGAGGCGUGGCCGCUCCUGAAGGAGUUGAGGAGGAGGAGGCCGCGCGGGGGGAGGUAGGUGGAGAGGCUGCAGAGGCAGGGGCGGCGGCGGCGGCGUCGGCUCCGGACGCUGCGGCUGCGGGGCGAGUUGACGCGGCUGGGCCUCUAGAAGGUGGAGUACUACGCGCGGCGGUAGCUCCGGAAGGGGCUGUAGGUGAAGAUGGCGAAGCCGUUCGGGCGGGGGCCGCGGCGGCGGCGGCCGCCGUCGACGCUGUACCGCACCGCGAAGGCGGGGUUCCUGCGGUUCGCGCGGCGGAAGAUGUUCCUGAUGGCGGCGAAGCUGUAGCGGGCGAGGGGGUUAACGUGGAUGAGGCAGCGGUUCUAGCCGCUGAUGGUGAGGCCGCAGUUGCGGGCGUUCUUCUUCUUGUUCUUCGGGGCGGGGCCGUCGGGGGGGCUGCGGCUGCCGAAGCCGGGCGCCUGGCGGUCUAGCCGGNGUGGUUCAUGCUCUUGCAGCGAUCGCCGCCGCCGACAUAGAUGAGGUACCUGCCGCGGCUGAACCCGGACUCGGACUCCACGACGGGGAGGGUGUCGUUGACGGUGUCGCCGACGACGGGGACGACGACGGCGGCGGCGCCGGCGGGCGCGGCCUCGGCCGAUCUGGCGGUCCGCGGGCCGAAGCCGUCGGCGUCGGGGGGGCUGCCGGGGCGGGGCUUCUUGUUCUUCUUCUUGCGGGCGUUGACGCCGGAGUGGUAGUCGCCGAUCUUGGCGACGGAGUAGGUGCAAUUGGGGGAGCGGGCGAUGUCGAAGCGGCGGUAGUCCUUGUAGAAGGCGGCGCGCUUGGCGUCCUUGGGGCGGAAGCGCCACGCCAUGUCGCAGCUGCCGCCGGCGGCGGCGGCGCCGGGGGCGGGCUUGCCGAAGCGGUAGAAGUGGAUGUCGGGGAAGGCCUCGAUGGCGGCGCGCAUCAUGAGGUGGAAGAUCUCCGGGUCGGCGCAGUUGAGCGGGGCGUCGGCGUCGCAGGCCUCGGCUGCGGCGGCGGCGGCGGGGACGGAGACGUCGGAGAGGUGGAUGGAGGGGGGCGCGCCGGAGGAGGAGGAGUUGAGGAAGUCCUCGCCGGUGCGGAGGGCGGAGGAGUCGUCGGCGGGGAGGGUGGAGGAGGAGGUGGUGGAGGUGAGGAAGGAGGUGAGGGAGCGGGAGGGGGAGGAGUUGGGGCGGAGGAGAAGGGGGUCGUCGGGGGAGUAGGAGGCGGCGAGGAGGGUGAAGGCGAGGACCCCGAGCACGAAGAGCGCNCGCCCCCCCCGCCGCCCCAGACCCCGCGCCCCGAGUGCAUUUGUCCACUGGAGGGAGGGUCGUGCACAGUGUGGAGUGAAAGCAAGGAGAGAGAGCGAUGGGCUGUUUGGAUCUGAGGAGUCGGUUAGAUCUGGUGAUUUAGAAAGGAAUCGAGCCGACACUUUCAGUGUUUUUUUUUAUCUUCUUUUCCCCCUUCUUCGGUUUAUUAAACAAUUAUCUAUUCCAUGGUUUUACUGAGGGAGGUGGCACUGCAGUGUUUAGACGAUCUAAUUAUCUAUGCCAUGGUUUUAUUACUGAUCACUAAUGCCUAGUUACGCACUCCCUUGCUUAACUUUUAAAAUAUAAAAAGUAUUUUCAAAUAUUUUUCAGUAAGAUAAUAAUAAUUAUUAUUGGCAGAAAAAUACAAUACUCUCUGUAUAUAUUAUUAUAAGAUAAACUUUUACAUAAUACACCCCAUAAUCUAAAAUUUUAUUUUUAAAAAUUUUAAUACUAAAAUUAACAUAACAAGUGAAUAAAUAAAGCCAUUUGAAAGACUAGAAUGUAGAAUUUUAUACAUAAUUUAUGUUUAUAUAGGUGCACAAGUAGUAUUACUCUUCAUAGGGUUCGUUUAGCUCGCGUAUCUGUAUUAAAUUAUUGAUUUUUUUUUUUUUUACAUUUUAUACCGUUUCGGUAAUGCUGGUUAUUUCUUAAAAUAUGAUUACAAAUUUGGUCAGACAGGUAGGCCCCGAUUUUGUUGUCCGUGGGCCGUGGCUCCUGGGCUCAAUGUUUCAAGUUUUCAGACCGUGACAUGUCCUGGCUACACGUUAGGCCACGUGGUAGAGAUUAUAUGAUUAUCAAAAAAUUUUACUUAACUAUCCUUUUUUAUAAUAAUUUUUUUUGAUAGAAAUAGAAAUAAAAGGAAAAACUUCAAAAAUCCCCCUGGGAUUUCGUAGUUUCUUACUUUGCCCCCCUGUGGUUUAAAAUGUACCAAAUUGCCUCUCUGUGGUUUCGUUUUUAUAUUUUCAGUAGUUUUUUUGUUAAUAUUUUAUUAAUUAUAUACAAAAUACUUCAAAUACCCAUCUAGAUUUAUCAAAUAUUCACUUUAGUACCCUUUAAUUUUAACUUUAUCACUGAUUUAAGAAAAAAAAUUAAUAAAAUUGAUAAGAAAAAGAGAAAAAAGAAACCAUAGGGGGGCAAAUUGAUACAUUUUAAACCAUAGGAGGACAAAGUGAGAAACUACGAAACCACAUGGGGUUUAUUGAAGUUUUUCCGAAAUAAAACUCUAGAGCAAUUAAGUGUAAACAAUAGUUACAUGCCACAAACAAUACCUUUUUUCUUUUUUCUUUUUUCCUACCGUCACGUGCCACAAACAAUACUUUUCCGAAGUGUUCUAGUCACCAACUCGUAGAAGUUUGAAAAUCAGUAAAUAUUCUAAUAGUAACGACUGGUGCUGAGAUAUGAUUCUAAGUAGCGCCAGCAUUACUAACCAUAGAAUGACUACAUGCAUCUCAGCCCUCAAGGCACAGCUCUCCUCCUUCAAAACUAGACUAGGACCGAACAGUGUGCAUUGGCGGUAGAGCCCUUACGACUGUUUAGUGUGAAGUCAAUGUAUUCGGCACUGUGUGACGGGAGGACAAGGGACGGGCGUAGCUGCAAAAUUUGGAAGCUCUGCAUACCAUUAAAAGUUAAAGUAUUCUACUAGCUCGUCCUAAAAAAGAGACCUCUUACUGUAGAAAAUUUAUUAAAAAAAGGAUGGAUAGCAACAUUAAUUACGUGUUGCGUAGAUCUGAUGUGGAAACAGUAGACCAUCUUUUUUCUCAAUGUGUAUUCUUCAAAUUUCUUAUGGUGAUGUCGUUGGAGGAUGUCCAAACAGGAGAUUUGGGCGAAGCUGUGCAUAUUGUUUGGGACAUAUGGUGAGAAAGGAAGGGGUCACAGUCCAUGAGCGAUGGUUUAUCUGGACUAAUAGCCUGUUGGGGUGGGUCAUCUGAGAGAUCAGGAAUGGUGUUACUUUAGGAGGAAUCAGACUGAUUCAAUCCGUGGUUGCUAUAAGGUUAAACAACUGACGUCCGUGUAGAAGAAACUUUGCCCUGUGGAGAGAUACUGAUUUUUUUUUUUUUUCGUCUUAGCCCUACUUUUCAUCUCCCUAGAGGCCUUGUUGUCUCACCCAUGUAGCUAAGUUCAUCUCCUGAAUGAAUAAAGCGGGUAGUGUGCUAUCUUUUUUCUCAAAAAAGAAAUUGAGUGCUAUUCAAUAAUAAUAAAAAACAGAUGUAUUUAACUUAAUUGCAUUUUUUACAAUUCGUUUCUAACAAAAUAACCUUUAUUUUCCUUUUAUCCUCCACCGCUACAGUCUUCUUCUUCUUCAUGAUUUUUCUUUUUAAAAAAAUCACAGCCAAUUACUUGACAUUUUUUUUUAAAAAAAUAUUUAUGGCUAUGCUACCACAGAAAGAAAAAAUUAAAUUUAUAAAAUAAAAUAUUUUUAUCAUUUUGUUAUAUAAAUAUAAUUUUGUACAAUUUAGUAAAUAUUUUUUAAAAAUAUAUUUAAAUAAUAUUUUAUUAUAGAAUACUAUAUUCUGCAUUGACAUAAAAAAUAAAGCCAGUGCCACGUAGACAAAUACUACUUGUGUGUACAUCAAUUUAGGUGGCGCAUAUCUUACAACACUCAAAUCGAGGAUUAAGAUUUUUUUAUUAAAAAAUAGAAUGUGAUUAGUAUGAAACAAAAUAAUUUUGAAUAAUAAUAUUAUAUAAUAUAUAAAUCAAAAAUCGAAAAUUAACUCACAUGCUGCAUUAGUUGACUUCGUGCAACUCGGUAUUUUGAUCUGGCAUUUGAUUCGAGGUGUCAGAGAGUCGCAAGGACUUUGGGCUCUAUAGAAAAUUUUCCCUAAAAAGUUAAAAAAGUACAAAAUUUACUUCAACUAAGACUCAUCUUAAAUUGACUAUUGAACAUUUCAAAAUUUUAAUUGUAAUCUCCAAUCGUUCAAUUUAUCUCAUAUGAGUCGGUCAACAUUUUUUGGACUUUAAAUUUGGAGGACAUAGUUUAUCUCUACAGAUUUAAUUAAUAUAUAUUUUACAAUUUUCACAAUAUAAACUUAUUAAAAUAAAUAAUUAGUUUAAAUUUUAAAAUUAAAGUACUGUUUACUGACUAAAAUUAAAUAGAUUGAAAGAUUGAAUAGUAAAAUUUAAAUUUUUAAAAAUAAAUUGUCACCUUUUAUGGCCCACGGGUGGUUUAUGACACAUGCCUUACUAGUUCGGCCCCAAUAAAAGCUAAUUCACGCUAGAGAGAAUAUUUUCCGGGCCCAUGAGGAUCCGGGUCGGGUUCGUUCUGAUCGAGCCCAAAUCACCCUCGCUCCCCCGACCCCAAACCCGAUACCAUUCUAUGCGGGCGCUCGCAUGGAAGAAGUCAUUCUUCGGGUGAAGAAACGGUUUCCAUGUUUCGGUCCCACUUCCGUUUUGAACCGCCCCAGACACGCUCCUUGAAUACAAGUCUUCGAGUCUUCCUCAUUCGUCGUUCUUCGCACCUCACUUCCCCCACCUCGUCUCUUCCACCGAAGUCCACUUCCACGCGCGAUCCGAGGACGAAACCCCAUUUAUCUCGACGAGGAUCGCUCCUCCUCUUCUUCGUCACCUCGCGAGAUCGAGAUCUCCCGAUCCUCCCGAUCCCUUCUCGCCCGAUCGUUUAAUCGAUCCGUGAGGUAACGAUCCGAGCUCUCUUCACGAUCCCAUUGUCGUCUCCUAGCUCUUUCUCUUGCUAAAUUUUGAUCUAAAUCAAGUGUCUAGCUCUUAAAUUUGCUUGAUACGAUUCAGACGUUUUGUUGAGAUUAUCUUGUUCCUGUUUGUUUCAUUUGACACCAUGGAUUAUGAUCUAGGAUCGGUGUUAGAUUCAAGUGGUUUCUAUAUUAUAUACUACUUUAAGCGUGGUGAUGAUGAGUUUAUUGAUUUAGUCCUGUUUAAGUUCAUAAUCUUAUGCAAUUGUGUCAGUUGUUGUUUGUUCAUGUUUUUUUUUUUUUUUUUUUUUUUUUUUUUUUGACAUGAUGUGUAAAACUUGUACUUAAACAUUAUCAUUUCUCUGUUAAUCAUGCUCUGAGUAUGAUAGUUGUGUUUCAUCCUGUGAAACACUUGGUUUUGUUCCUUGAUGGACGAAUAUAUGUAUAUUUUUUUUACGAAGAUAAUGAUUGUACUUGUUCGUGUUUCUGGUAAUGAACUAUCUUCCAUCACAUUACUACUAUGGUGCUUACUGUUUGACAUGUCAAUGCAUGAAAUUAUGUAUUCUUUCAGUGAUCAGUAUGGGCGACAAAGAUGUUAAUGGGAGCUCUACUAUCAAUGAGCUAUUAUCCAUGGUCUCUUAUGAUCAAUGGGUUUUAGUCAAUCCCUCUGGAGUGCGCCCAUCGGGUCGUUAUAAGGUACGAGUAUUUCCUUCAUGAGUGUGCCAGUAGUGCAUAUCAUAGUGGUGUUACUUGGUUUUUUGGUUUUUAUAGUUCCUUUUCCUUUGUAUGCUGUGACUUAAUAGAAUGCUCCCUGCUUUGAUCUUCUUCAGCUAAUAUUACUACGUCCACUAGAAGCUAGGUUUUCUACUCUUCCAUUUCUACUUUAGUGUCAGGAUAUAAUAUUCUGUACGAUUCAAUGCUAACAUUUUCUCUCUUUCAAAUACAAUAGCAUGCAGCUGAAGUGGUCGAGGACAAGCUCUAUGUGAUUGGAGGGAGUCGCAAUGGCCGUUAUCUAGCUGACGUUCAGGUUACAUAUACUAACUGAAUCUUUAAUACAGUGUCUCUUUUUAUAGAUGACUAGACAUGACAACUUUCGCAGGUUUUUGAUAUCAGAAGUUUGGAAUGGUCAAAUAUAAGUGCAAACAUGGAUACAAAAUCUACUAAAUCAGAUAGUUUUGUCUCAGAUCAAGCCUUUCCGGCAUCUGCAGGGCACAGUUUGGUGGGUUUCUUUUUGUUGAAUAAUCGCAAACACUUGAUUAGUUGCAGCCAUUUUAUUUGUUGUUGAUGUUAAUACAUUCACUGAGUUCACCUGUCCUAGUUAACUCAGCAUUGUUACAUUGAACAGGUUAAAUGGGAAAAUAAGCUUGUGGUUGUUGCUGGGCAUUCCAAGGAAUCAUCAGAUACUGUCAGAGGUCUAUUUCCAACUGUAAUGCAUCGAUAUACUUCUAUCUAUUUAGGCUGACUGCGAAAAAGAAUUUGUGGAUGACAAUGGUCUCUUCAUUUGCUACAAAAAAUAGCGUCUUAAAUUGUUCGAGGCUACUAUUGUAAAUUUGUAAUGUAUCUCCUACUAAAUUACAUGGAAUGCAGUUUGGUUGCUCGAUUUAGAAACAAACAGCUGGUCUGCUGUAGAUACCUCUGGAAAAGUUCCGGUAAUUUCUAAUCUCUGCUUCUCAACAUUUAAUCAAUCACGGAACAUCAAUUUUCACUUCUCUCUGAAAACUUGAAAGCACGAGGAGGAGUUGCCAAUUCAAAAUCAAGUGAAUAUUCAAGUGCAAAAAAAAGGGACAUAACACAAAAUAUUGUGAAACAUUGAAUAUUUGAUUUACCUUUUGUGAACCAGAAAGCACGAGGAGGGCAAUCUGUGACAUUGGUUGGAUCUAGGCUUAUCAUGUUCGGUGGAGAAGAUAACAGUAGGAGGCUGUUGAAUGACCUUAAUAUUCUGAACUUGAAGACCAUGACUUGGGACUUAGCAGAAACCAAGUAAGGUUUAGUUGUUAAAACUUGUUCUAGCAACAGUUACGCUAGGGAAGGUUUCUAAGUUCCAGGAAGAUCUCUUAAGUUCCAUAUUUCCUAGUAAUUGCACAGGAAAGCAGCUCCAGCACCCAGAUUUGAUCACACAGCUGCAAUGCUUGGGAACCAAUAUCUUCUAACAUUUGGCGGUUCAUCUUAUUCUACUUGUUUCAAUGAUCUGCACAUACUUGACUUGCAAACUGUAAGUCGAAAUUUGUAUUCAUCCUUUUGUUCUAUGUCAUUCCAUAUACGCGAUUACUAAGCAACAGGUUGUGGCUGCUUGCAUUGUAAAUCAAAAUAUGAUAUAUCAAAGUUCAAGACCUUUCAUGAACUUAGAACUAGCUAAUCAAUUUUGUGAGAUCUUAUAGAAGAAUGAUGUUUCUAGGCUUUUCAGUUCUUAAGUUGAGCUUAAUCUCUUCUACAAAUGUUGGAGCUCUUUUCUUUUUCCCUUUAUCUUUUUUGUUUUCUUGAAAUGUUUGUUUCCUAUUUAUUAAUACUUAAUUGCAUUACAGAUGGAGUGGUCUCAACUAGAAAGUCAGGGUGCAUAUGUGACUCCCAGGGGUGGUCAUGCUAGCACCAUAAUUGAUGAGAAAUGGUACAUAGUUGGUGGUGGAGACAACAGAAGUGGUAAUUAUGUUUGCUAAUCAGUCUCACUAGUAGCAGUGAUGAGUUUGUUAUUCAGUUUUUCUGUUGGUUAUAGUAUCUUGUAAAAUUCUAACAAAAAGAAACUUUUCACAGGUGCUAUUGAGACCGUUGUUUUGAACACCUCCAAGUUUGUGUGGUCAGUGGCCACGAGCGUAAUGGAACGACAUCCACUUGCUAGCGAGGUUCCUAAUGUAGCCUUCUGAAUUAAUUAAGAGUGAACUUUGUAGUUACAUAAAUUGUUUGUUCACUAAAAGAAAACAUUGAAGAAAUAUAGUAUGCCAAUAUCUACAUUUUUUUUCAGCUUAAUUUCAGUUCAUUAAUCUUCCUUCUAUGAACAUAUUGCUAGUGAAAAUGUGUGCAUUCGCUCAAAUUUAUUAUUCUGAACUAAUCAUAUGCGACUGUUCAAUUGGACGAAAGAAUUUACUUUAUAAAAGCAGCAAUUCAUGUUAUGAUCAGCACCACAGUACAAAUUGCAUCAAAAGUAAACUUGUUUUUAGUAUAGAUAUCUGUGUAACUUUAUUUCAUCAGUUCUUUAAGUUGGUUGAUGUUGAUUCGUAUUUCAAGUAUCUUCAUGGAUUUUUGUUGUUUAACAGGGCCUCGCCCUUUGCUCAACUAUCGUAGAUGGAGAAAAGAUUUUGAUGGCCUUUGGUGGUUACAAUGGGAAGUACAGCAAUGAGGUAUGGAUAGCACAAAAAUUGCACUGUCUAAAUAGUGUCUCUAUAUUUAAUUUGUUUUGUUCUGUUUUCUACCACAAUAAUAAUGAAACAUUUUCCUGCAGCUUUUUGUCAUGAAACCAAAGCCAAUAAACUCAUUGCAACCUCGGCUUCUUCAAUCACCAGCUGCAGCUGCUGUAUCAGCUUCUGUCACUGCUGCGUAUGCUGUAAAUACAGCUGCUGACAAAAGCAUUGAGAUUAAGCAUCCAGAUGAAUCAAAUAUGAGGGGAGUUCAAUUCGAGAAAACUCUCAACAUUGAAAUCAAAAUUGAUGCACUAAAUGCAGAAAAGAAGAUUCUAGUGUCUAGAAUUGAAGAUGCAAGAGAUGAAAAAUUGAGACUAAAGUACAAUCUCGAAGAGAUGAACAAUUCAUAUGACGAAUUGGUAAAGGUAAGUAUUCAUCCUGGAACAGAUAUUUGUUGAUUAUUGAAGCUUCUGAUUGUUUUUGUAUUGCUAUUGAUCUAGGAACUUCAAUCAGUGCGAGGGCAACUGGCUGCUGAGAGUGCAAGAUGUACCAAACUAGAGGUUCUGGACUCUGUUCUUUUUCAGGGUGGGGGGGGGGGUGUUUGGCUAAUUUGGGGCCUCUUGAAUUUUAUAGGCUAAUUUUUAAAUUUUUGUAUUCAAUUUGUGCAGGCACAAAUUGCACCAGCCAAGAAAAGGUUGGAGUCACUUAGUUCCCUCGAGCAGGAGCUUGAAGCCCUACGGCGUGAAAAAUCUCAAGUAGAAGAAGAAAUAGCUGUUGCUCAGAGGCAAAGGUCUGGAGGUAUUUGGCAAUGGCUGACGGGAGCAGAAAACAACCUUGAAGAGUAGACACUAGAUAGUAAGUUAAUAUUUCUGUACUUUGCCCAUGCGCUAUUUUUUUGGUCAUUGAUGCUGCUGAAACCUUCUAAUUAUCUGGUUCCCUGUUUCCCCUGCAUUUUUCUGAAAUUGAGGGCCACAAUGCAGGAAACUCCUUCAAUAAUUAUCAUGACUUUCGCUUUGUUCUCUCAAAAAAAUUGUUUUCACAUUAGCUCCAUAAAAUUCUGAAACCUUCUUUUGCCCUAUUAAUAUAUGAGGAAAGUGAUAGAUUUUACCUAAUGGAACAGUAACAGGGAGGCAAAGUAAUGAAACCUGCUACUUUAAAAGGGUAAUAUAUAGGUUUCAAAAUCUCAGGGGGCAAAGUUGAAGUAUUAUAGUGGGUUUCCUGCAAUUAAACAAUCAAAUUAUGUAUUUUUCUUGUCCACUUGAUUACAUAGAACGGUCUUGUGACCAGUACAUUCUAGGAGUAAAGAACUAAAGCCAGGAAGUAAUUUGUUCUUCCAUUCCUAUAUCUCUUGCAAUAAAUAAAAGUUGAGCAGUCAUGGGGAUGACAUAGUGGAUACCAGCCUAACAUCCAUUUGCAAGACAAUGAUACUCUGAUUUCUGUAUAAUUAUCAACUGAAGCACUAACUCCAUGACAUUUUGACCCAUAGGACAAUGGUAUGAUUUAUCUCUUGAGUAUUAUAUUUAACAUCAGGCACAUACUGCUGCUGCUGGAGGGACUUGUAUGAAGAAGGAAGAUGCUACAAUUUCGAAGUGAUGGCCUGUUGGUUUUGAGCCACCAAUUGCUUCCUUAAUAUCUUUCCGGCUGCUGACCUUGGGAUACUUUCUAUGAAGGCAACCUUUCUGAUCUUCUUAUAGGGAGCCACCUGAUACGUAUUCCAGAACACAAUGGAUAAGAUAUUUAGUUAUUGGCAAAAUAUAUUUAUAACAAUUUAUAGAUAUACACCAAAUUGAGGGAUAAGGAAAAGAAUAAGUGUUUAUUCAUUGUCUGCAAUAAUAUGAUUCUCAGUUCAUACAGAUUUUUGUAUACUGAUUUAUAGGCUACUGUGAGAAAAAACUGUUGUGUAUUCAAAAUUAUUCUCUUCUUCAAAAAGCUCAACCAUCGAAUUAGUUGCUUCUUUUUUCCUAGAAUAAAAUGUGAGUAGUAGUUGGUGCAAGAAUGGAGAAGAACCUGAGAAGCAAUGAAUUGAAUGACUCCAUCGGUUGUAAGUCCACUUUGAGGUGAUUUGACCACAUAAGCCAUAGGUACUUGCCCUGUUUCCUCAUCUUCCAGCCUAUAUAUUUUUCGUCAAAUAAUGAAGAAAUUUACUGUUUAUUUUUGUUGAUUACUUUUGUGAUGAUUAUAUACUGCUGCGAAGAUAGGAGGAGAAACUCACGGGACUACUGCAGCGUCAACUAUAUGAGUAUGUGUGAGCAACAGGGCUUCCAACUCUGCAGGAGCAACCUGUAAGCAGCUCAAAAAGAUCUCAAUUAAUAAAUCUAUCGGCCUAAACCCUCCUUAUUUGUCGAAUAUUUACUGCACGUGUGGAUUAAAAUUUUGUGGUGGCAGAAAACUAGUAGUUUAGGAUUUAUUGAAAUAGUCGCUAUUGCUUCUCGAAUAGCUCUACUUUCUUGGAGGUAAAAUGUUUUGAUAGUCCCUAUAAACAAUUCAAUUACUGCAAGCUAGUCCCUACACUUCUUUAAAUGGUCAUGAACUAAUCAGCAGCGUGUGUGUAAGGUGAGGAACUAAAUGUUCACGUACCGAGACUAGUUUGGGACGUUUCCCUAGGCUGGUAAAACAACAACAAACUUGUCGUGCGCACCUGGUAACCGUUGUGCUUGAUGAGCUCCUUUAGCCGAUCUACGACGUACAAGUACCCAUCCUGGUCGACGUACACCAGAUCCCCCGUCCUCAGCCACCCGUCUCCGACCAGAGCCUCCGCCGUGGCCUCCUCGUUCCCCAGGUAUCCCUUCAUCACGGUGGGCCCCCUCAGCCACAGCUCCCCCCUCAUCCCAGGUCCCAGCUCCUCUGCCGCAGGCCCUACCACCUUUGCUUCCAUCCCCGGCAGCAGCCUCCCCACCGCUCCUGCUUUCGCUGCCACUGCAAAUGUAGCAGCCCCGCCGCUCUCCGUCAGCCCGUACCCCUCCCUCAACUCCACCCAAGGAAACUUCCUCCGGAACUCCCUCCCCGCUGCCGCACCCAGUGCCGCUGCACCCGUCCCCACCCUCCUCAGCCCCGACAUGUCGUACCCUGAUCCACUGCCACUGUAUCGGGCUAUUGCCGACACCACAGGCGGCACUGCAGGGAUGUUGGUCACCCCGUGUGCUGCCACCGCUGCCAUCGCUGCCCCAAGCUCGAACCGCGGCAUCACUACAGUGGUCGCCCCUGCCGCUGGCAGCCCUAGCGCAAAGAAUGCCAGGCCAUAUAUGUGGGACAUCGGGACGAAUCCCAGGUACACAUCAACACUGUCCCUCGCCGGCACGCUUGCCUCCGCCACCCAUCGCACCAUGGCAGUGAUCGCGAUGAGGUUGCCGUGCGUCAGCACCACCCCUUUGCUCGGUCCUGUCGUCCCCGACGAGUAGAGCACUGCCGCCACAUCGGAUUGGGCAGUCUCUGGAUGCGGGGCUGCCAUUGGGUCGCCAUCCUCCAUAAGCUCCUCCGCCGAGAGGGGCCCGUCGGAGUCUGGGGAGCGGGUGGUGAGGAGGAUGGGGAUGUCAGCAGCGGCGGCCUUGUGGGCCUCCUCCGGUGCCACGAUGGCAAACACGGCGCCGGAGUCACGGGCCUGGCGAGCGACCUCGGCGGCGGUGUUGAGGGGAUUGGCGGUGGUGAUGACCGCGCCAGCAGCAAGGACGCCGAGGAUGAUGGCAGGAUAAAGCACUGAGUUGGGAGAUAGAACAAGGACGACGUCGCCACGGCGGAGACCGAGGCCAUGGUGGAGGGCGGCAGCGAGGGAGAGGGCAGAGCAGCGGACAUGAGAGAAGGUGAGACAGCGUCCGGUGACAGAGUCGAUGAAGGCAGGCUUAUCGUCAGCGAUGCCGGGAGAGGGGAAGAGGGAGAGGACGAAGGUGGCGGCAUCGAGGGCAAGGUCAGCGGGGAUCCGGUGGCGGGGGCCGAGUCGGUGGAGGGAGCGGUAGAUGCUGGAGCGGCGGCAGAAGCCGCUCCGGGGGUCGUAGUCGGCGUCGUAGACCGGAUUGGAUUCUUCUUCGAAGGAUUCGAUGGAAGCCAUUGUCUGCGAGAAGGGCAGGAGAUGAGGCGGGGGUUUUAACGAAGUUUUAAAAUGGGCGGGGGCGGAGUUGGCAGGGUCGGGGAUGGCUUUGGAGAGUCCGUUUGGCAAGUUGUCGGAUAUAGAGAUUUGUCGUUAGUAGGUUGGCGGGUAGUCGCUAAGAUGUUUAAUUGAAGGGCCGCCCCGUGCGUGCGAUGCCUCACACCAUCGCGUGCUUCGUGUUUUUUUAAGUAGACUAGCAGGUAAAUUCGCUGCAUAAGUUGCAUGGCCUGCAGCAUAUUCUGUCCAUCGAGAUGGCUUGGCAGUCUUAUCUUUGCUAGUGCAGCCUUUCUCCGAGCUAGAUUGAUGAUCAAAAGUUCGUGAGAAGAAUUUGCUUGCCUAGCUGACACAUGACUUGACCAGUUAAUCAUUUCGCUCAAAAUUUUGAUCAUGCGUAAUCACGGAACUAAAAACAUCUCCGAUUAGCUAAAACUAAAGGUUCAAAAGUAGAUUGCGACGAAAUUAUUAUUUAAGCGGUGAAUUUCAACAUUUUAAGAAAAAUAUUUGGAACUUGAUUGUUUCCCGGUCUCCAGAAGUUAGUGGCUGUAGAUUCACUUUUAGGCUCGAGUAGAAAACCCAAGUUUGGGAUUAAGCCUCUGAGGCCUGAGAUUGUAAAGAGGGGUGGCGACGUGACUCCAAAAUUGUUGUUGCCAUAAUGCUAUGCUUAAUUGCAGGAGCGCUCCUUAAGCGGAGAGCUUGAUCUUGAUCUGGACCGUUCAUCAAUCUAAAACUUCGUGUUUUCCUUUGAUUUGUGCCGAAUUUUGAUUAGAGCUAACGCUUCUAAAAAGCCAAACCGCGUAGGAAUUGUCGUUUCAUGCAAAAGAGAACGGCUUCCUCCCUAAAGCCCCCAUGGCCACCAAUCCCUCCAAGCCCCUCAUUUCAUGAAACUUAUUACUGUGAAUAGCAAAAGCAACACGUACUCUAAACAUAGCAAACACUUAAACAAAUUACCAUUGCAUGGACAACACAUAAAUAGAUCCACAACAUGGAUGCAUGGUUUAACAGAGGCUCAUUUGCUACAUUAACAGCAAUUAUUUCUUCUCCUCCUCCUCCUCCUCCUCCACGAUGGCCGUGCUCUCGUAUUCCUUACUUCCCUUGUUGUCGAUGCUUGUGCUCUUUGUGCUUGGUUCUGGAUUCGGCGAGGCGCAAGGCAUUGUUAAUGCACGCGGGAUUCAUCCCCGCGGCCAAGUUUUGCCUCAUUUUCCCGUCAAACACAAUCACGGCAAGUUCAUGGCCGGUCCGUGGAACUUUGCUCAUGCCACCUUCUAUGGAGGCUCUGAUGGCUCCGAAACAAGAGGUAACAUAACAUGAGCUUAAUUUCUUUCUAAUGAAUUGCAUAGCAAUCACUCUGCGUCUUACAGCGUAGCUAGAAAAUAUAUAUGUACAGGAGGAGCAUGCGGGUAUGAGGACACGGUGAGCCAGGGCUACGGGCUGCAGACGGCGGCGCUGAGCGCGGCGCUGUUUAACAACGCCGAGACAUGCGGUGCGUGCUUCGAGAUCAAGUGCGUCGACGACCAGCAGUGGUGCAAGCCCGGGCAACCUUCGAUCGUCGUGACGGGGACCAACCACUGUCCCCCGAACUACUACCUCCCGAGCGACAACGGCGGCUGGUGCAACCCCCCUCGCACCCACUUCGACCUUGCCAUGCCCGCGUUCCUCCAGAUCGCCGAGUACAAGGCUGGAAUCGUCCCCGUCACCUAUCGCAGGUAACAAAAAUGUCCAUGGAAACUGGAAUGUAUGAGUUAUACAUAUACAUGUACAUGUAAAUAUUUCUUCAAAAAUAUGCGCGCGCGUAUGGUGUUUCAGGGUGCCGUGCAGAAAGGAAGGUGGGAUAAGAUUCACGAUGAAAGGGAACCGCUACUUCAACCUGAUCCUGGUGUGGAACGUGGCCGGGGCCGGGGACGUGCACGCGGUGCUCGUAAAGGGAAACAAGCUAGGGUGGACGGCGAUGACGAGAAACUGGGGCCAGUACUGGCAAACCUCCGAGGACUUGACGGGACAGUCUCUUUCGUUUCGAGUUAUCACCGGCGAUCAUCGGAAGUCCACCUCCUGGCACGUCACGCCGCGGGAUUGGCAGUUCGGACAAACCUACCAGGGCAAGAAUUUCAGAUACUAGCUAGCAGUUUCCAACUUUGCCUGCAGAUUGUCGCACUCGCACUCGCACUCGAUCUCAGCAACUAGGAAUUACUGUAAAAUCCUCAAAAUUUAGCAUUUCAUAGGUUAAUUUGUUUUGUAACUUGGGUGAUGUUGUUUCACUCAAUUAAUUUGUAUGCAAUCGUGUCCCUUCCUGUGCUUAAUUGUGUGCGCGUGUGAAUCCCCUAUCUUACUUACCCUUAUGGGAUGCAUAUAUCAUGCAAGGAAUUUCACACUUCAAAUUGUAGCUAGUGAGUUAGUUUCACAUAACAAAUAAUUUGUAGCAGUGCCAGUGAGUAAACAUUUUAUAGUUGAAAUCCAGCACAUAUCUGAUAUUUGCAAUCUAGCUUAAUUAUCAACUAUAUUUAGUUUUUAAGGCACCCAAAUUAAGCAUUCUCAAUAUGCAAUAUAUACCAAAUUAAAUUUUCUUUUGUAAAACAAAUCUCUUAUUAGUAGUGAGAUACUCCGAGUCUCUGCUUCCAUGUCGGGUCUAUAGACCGGGACCACGAAAAUAAGCUACCCCUCCGUCGCUCCAACCAAUGAGGUUUGGAUCAUCCUGUUGCGCCACGUGUCCUCCUUCGCGUCCUUACACCAACACAUAUAUAUAGUCCCAAUCCGAAGCCAAAACCAACUCCCCUCUCCUUCCCCCUCUCCCUCUCCCUUCGCUCUCACUCCACUCCCCUCUCCCUCUCUUCCUCGCCUCCUCCGCUUCCUCCAUGGCCGUGGCCGAGAUCUCCCCCUCCUCCUACGCUAAAACCCUACACUCCGACCUCUCCUCCAAACCCUCGAACCCUCUCCGCGCUCGCACCUCGCGUUGCCGCUCCGCCGCGCUCCCACCUCGCCCGGCGCCCACAAUCCGCUGCUCCGUAGCUCCCAAGUAAGGAAGGUUCUUUUUUUAAUCAUGUUCUUGCCUUUAACGGCUAAUUUGUGCCUAAUAUCUCGCUAUUUAACUCUAAUUUAGUUUGAUUUUGUGGUGGUGGGUCGCAGCCAAGUGCAAACCCUUGUUUCCCCUGCAGUUCCCACCGGCGCGGCGAGCAAAAGAGAGUGCUUUGGGGUUUUUUGCACCACGUACGAUCUUAAAGCGGUAAAGCCCUAAUCUUUGUGGUUUUUUACUUCUUUUGGAUGAAGGAAAAAACGUUUAAUCGCCAUUAAUUUUAAUUCGUAGUUAACUCAAAAGAUGAUAUCUAAUCUUUUAAUGAGAAGUUGUAGCUUUACUCUCAGUAAAAUUCCUCGAAGUUAGGUUUUUGUCAAUGCUUCAUGGUGUUGGUGGUUAAACAAUCCGGGAUCGAGAUAUUAUGUAGUUCUGUAUGCUGAUAUAGUUGCUUCUGAUUUGGUGUAGGAUGAGAAAACAAAGUCAUGGAAGAGUUUAAUUAACAUUGCAGUAUCUGGUGCAGCUGGAAUGAUAUCUAAUCAUCUACUUUUCAAAGUAAGGAAUACUUUAUAAAACGUUCUUUUCAUUGUUGAUGCCAUCUAGUUCACUAUUUUUUUGCUAUACAUUUUAGCUUCCGUAGCAUUCUGAUCGAUAUGUAAAAAUAUAUCCUCUCUAUGUUAAUAUACAUCAUCCCGUGCAAAGACGAACGGUUUGGGCAGUCUCAAAAUUGAGUUUCAUUUCACAAUUUUACUUGUGAAAGGGAAAAACUUGAUCGAAGAAUGUUUGAUCUUCCCUUUUAUUCCUGUAGCUUGCUUCUGGUGAGGUUUUCGGACCGGAUCAACCAAUAACCUUGAAGUUGUUGGGCUCUGAAAGAUCAUUUCAAGCUCUUGAAGGUAUGUGUUCUUUUCUUUAUGAAAUUAAGCUACUAUUAGGAGAGGAAGUUAGUUGUUAGUCAUGUAAUUCAUUAACCACGCAGGAUCGCGCAGCAAUUCUGGAGGGAUUUUCUUGCAUGAUUUUUCUAACCUUCUUUUCAAAUUACAAAUUCAGGGGUGGCUAUGGAGUUGGAGGACUCUCUUUACCCUUUGUUGAGGGAGGUAAGCAUAGGCAUCAAUCCAUACGAGGUGUUUCAAGACGUCGAAUGGGCACUUCUAAUAGGGGCAAAGCCACGAGGUCCUGGAAUGGAGCGAGCCGGCUUAUUAGAUAUUAAUGGGCAAAUUUUCGCUGAACAGGUGCUUUCUCGAAAUAACACAUCUGCUUAUUUAUAUAAGUAGAAAUUUAACGCAUGAUCUUUAUUUUUAUUCUAAAUUUUAUUUUCUAAUAUGAGCCGAAAUUUCAGGGAAAAGCACUCAAUGCUGUGGCCUCCCGUAACGUCAAAGUUAUAGUUGUGGGGAACCCAUGCAACACAAAGUAUGAACUGUAUAGAAAAACUUAUAAUUCCAUGAAUUUUAACUCUUUUAGGGCAUUUUGUUGUCGUGUCUUAGUUAAAUAUUGCCUUUGCCAAUUCACAACGAAUAUUUUAUGCAGUGCAUUGAUUUGUUUGAAGAAUGCACCAAAUAUACCUGCAAAGAAUUUUCAUGCCUUAACGAGGCUGGACGAAAAUAGAGCCAAAUGCCAGGUAGUUUCUAUCCUUCUUUUUCAUUAUGAUUAGGUUCUGCUGUUUUGCGGACAUACUAAUAGGGGUGAUAAGUGGUCUUAUUUCAUGUGUGAAUUUUCGCAGCUAGCCCUCAAAGCAGGUGUAUUUUAUGAUAGAGUAUCGAACGUGACAAUCUGGGGGAACCACUCAACAACGCAGGUUGCGCUAAUACUAAACUGCUAAAUUUACAUUUCUGUUUUGUUCUAGAUGGAAGUCUCUUUGUAUUGAUCAACAUACAUGUUGAAGGCAAGUGCUGCUUUUUAACUCAAACAGGUUCCUGAUUUUUUAAAUGCCAAAAUCAAUGGCAUUCCUGUUAAAGAAGUUAUCAAAGAUACCAAGUGGUUAGAGAAAGACUUCACUGAAAAUGUUCAAAAGGUACAUGCAUACCACAUUAUCACUACAAGGCAUACUAAUUUUUUUUGGUCAUGUUUUUGCCUGUGGAAGCACAAUAGAAGUCCUUUAUCUUUUUUACAAUGUAAAAUGAUUUUCAACAUACAGCGCGGAGGAGUGCUUAUUCAGAAGUGGGGCAGAUCUUCAGCUGCAUCUACCGCUGUUUCUGUUGUUGAUGCCAUACGGUCCCUGAUUAUUCCCACUCCAGAAGGCGAUUGGUUCUCCUCAGGGGUAAAUUCAUGACAGACAGAUCUUCUUGUAGGUAGUUUUAAUUUUCAAGUUGUUCUAAUUAGAAUACCAGCUUCUGUCUUCUGUCUUGCAUGAGCAUUUGUCAAAUUUUAUAUAUAAAUCACAAAAGUCAUUCCACCUCUAAAAGAGAUUACCUUUAAAAUGCUAAGUUCUUCAUUUACUUUCCUACCAAGCAGUGAAUGCCACUCCAGGAAAGAUAAUUACUCUUAACAUAUGUAGAACCUAUGUUAAUGUGUGAUAUCGUUUCUUAGUGUCACCAAUUGCUAUUAUUAUAUUCUGUAAAAUGCUGACUCCAGAGAAAAAUGACAGGUUUAUACCAACGGAAACCCUUAUGGCAUAGCGGAAGAUAUCGUGUUCAGCAUGCCGUGCAGAUCAGACGUAACUCUUUUCUUUCCUCUUCUUUUAAAUUCCUGAUACUUCUUUCAGCUUUGCACCAAGAAAUAGCAUAUCGUUUUUAUCAGGGAAACGGUGAUUAUGAGCUUGUUAAGGACGUCGUGAUUGAUGAUUACCUCAGAGGACGCAUAAAGAAGGUAGAAUUCAAUUCAAAUAUUCUAGUCGAUAAUUUGUGUGAAAGUCCGUGCAUCAAUUUUAUGUUUCAAUUGUUACAGAGCGAAGCUGAGUUGCUUGCUGAGAAAAGAUGCGUUGCUCAUCUCACCGGAGAGGUAUGUAGUAUCAUACAUCUUAAAUUGUUCAAAAUUAUCUAUUCCAUAGAUACGCAAAAUAGUUUAUGCUAUCGUCAUUUUAACAGGGUAAUGCUUACUGUGAUCUUCCUGAGGACACCAUGCUUCCUGGAGAACAGUAAGAAUAUGGCGAAUAGAACAUUUAGCGGCAGCAAUAUAAGGUCAGAAGAACAGAUCACUCAUCUAGAGAAGCUGCUGCCUCUUAUUAUGCUCUACUUCGUGUUGUACAAUAAAAGGCUUUGGUGCUUCGAUGAUGCAGAUUUUGUGCGAUAAUCGGAUCGUUGUCACGUUUCUUCCCUAUGUGACCUUUCCUUUUAUCAUUUUUAAUUACAAAUGAGGCUUCUGGGCCUCGAUUUGCUUUUGGAGCUUGUUAAGGCGUCAAUGAACUGGGCAAUUGGCAAAAUUGCCAAACAGGCUUUAAUACGAAAUGUGAUAGUAUAUAAGUAUUUAAUGCGUUUGUCCCCGUAAUGCAGAGGCUUUGAUCGGCUCAUAUAGGCUUUGAUUGGCUCAUAUACGCACACUCUUAUAUAUAACAAUAUAUAAAAAUAAUAUUAUAAGGACCUGCGGCGAUACUCAAAUAUGAAUUGGCUACAAGGUUUGACAAAUUGAAGACUUUCUCACAACACGCUCCACAAAUUCUUGUGGAUAUCUAAAUCAAAGGACCAAGUUUUUCCCGUUUUGAUGGGCAUCCAGGCUUGACACGGCAGACGAUUCGAUGCUCAGUUUGGAAGGACAGAAAUAAUUGGAGAAAGUGAAAGAACAAAAAAGAAAAAGAAAAUUAUCCUCCCCCCUGGGAUUCAAUUCUUGGAAAGAACUCCUGGAAUGAGAAGAAGAUCAACAUAGAAAAAGAAAGCGAAAAUAGACUCGAGUCUUUGAUUAUCUGGGAACUUAUAUGUGGAACUGAAGAGACAUAUAUACAUCACAAUAGUCAUCCAUUCGAAAAAUAUGAACAGCAUAAGAUAAUUCUGUACCACAUCUCUUGGCAUAUAAUAAUUUCCAUUAAGUUUCAAUCCAAAAUAGCCAAAUUUCUCAAAAUAGGACAGAGGUAAGCCCAUAAACUCCUGGCCCUAGUUGCAAAAUGCUACUAGAAAAUACGGUAGCACCAUUCAUUACAGAGUUCAAAUGAUGCAGAUGUAGUAAGCUACACAUAGGUUUCCAAGUCACCCUAUUAUUAUAGAUUUAAAGCUCACCUGGCUUAUUAUACAUGCACAUUCCUACAGCACAGCUGACCGAGAGAAUCACGGCCGAGAGAAGGAAAAAGCAGAAGCCACCACGGAGCACCGUCCAUAUGGCGCCACUGUGCAUCUUUGUUCUUGGAUCAAAGCAUAAUGAUUUUCUAGAUGUGGAACAAGACAUGAAGCAGGAGAGGAGGAAACAACCAUCUUCGCUCUUCUCCAGCGACCAGUUCUCUGCGGCGCGGGCCAAUGUUAAUUCGUUCACUUCGAUUACGCCAGCAGAGAUAUGAACGGAGCUAGCUGAGUGGUCCACGGAGAUAGGUCCAAUAGACUUCCCUGGUGCAGUAGGGAAUUCCUCAGCAAACGCGGGGGGUGCUGGGAUUGAGCCCAACAUGCUCGCGAGACGUUUUCCAAUAGAUUUAUUACUUAAUUCGUUCUUUUGAAUAUCUGCACCGUAGAAAUUGAAAAGAAAGUUUUACUUGAAAUACAAAAUACCACCAUGUACAGCCUUGCUACAAUUAUAAACUUAAUCAUACACAUAGCAGGGAAAUCAAUAUUUUCAUAGUAGCAACUACAAACAAAAACUGUACCUGAAGCAACAUUAAGAUCCUUAUUUUAUAAACUUAAUCAUACACAUAGCAAGGAAAUCAAUAUUUUCGUAAGGAGCAACUACAAACAAAAACUGUACCUGAAGCAACAUUAAGAUCCUUAUUUUCUCUGGUCAAUUUAUCAGCCUGCGGUAGCAUAGGAACGCCGGGUAUAACAUAUGAUUGUAGAGCCUUUGGCUUUGAAUCACUAUUAGUACCAUCAUCACCUUCGACCUGUAAUAAAGAAACACAUGCUGUGAACUCAGUUCAUUCGAUCAAGCUCAACAAAUAGCUUCUUGGCCAGACAAAUAAAGCAUACCUCUUGAGUCAUGCUAGAACCUUCUGCAACAUGAGGACCAACAACAUAUUCCGGCUUUUGUACAAAAUCCAGGAUAUCAAGAUUCCAAUUAUCAUCUGCCGCAUCAAAGAAUGCUGCUAGAUCCUCUAGCAUAUCAAUCCCAGAUGAACCAGCAGUGGGUGAAUUAGGAAGUUCAUUCAGUUGGAAUAAGUCAUUCUUUUCCAUUGCUAGAUUGUCACUAGGUGUAUCGUAAAACAUGGUGUUGUAGUCAGUCGGUUCACGAGAAUAACUCUCACUAGCCAGAGGCGGAUUAUUCAGCAUAACACUUGGCUGCAGAGAGUAGUUAUUCUGAUAAGAAAUGCCGUCAGUGGUGUCAAAGAACUCCUCAACAUUGAAUGGUUCUUGCAAAUCGCUUCUGCCAUCUUCUCCGCUCACAGGCUUCUGAUUAUUGAUGUCUGACCGUAAAGGCCAGGCAACCGAGUCAUCACUUGCAAAGUAGUCCAUAUUUCCAUAAUCACUAAAAUCGUUUAAUUCAACGUAACCAUUAUUCUGGCUAGAAGGACUAUGGGACCAAUGUGUGUUAGCAGCAUUCCCUUCCAAUUGGCUAUUGAGUGCUGGGCCGCUUGUAUCUCUAGGUUCAUCAAAAUACGCAGUAAUGUCAUUAAUGAAGCUCGAGUCUUUCAAAAUCUCGUCCAAUGAAAUCUCAGGAUCUUCAGGGUGUUCAGUAUUAUCCAGUACAUUAAGACCAGGGGCUGAGAGAGGAGUAAUCUCGUGUUGACUGUCCAGCUUCUGGUUCUGAAAGUAAUACGCAUUAUUAGUAUAAAUAAACAGUUUUGUCAAAGACAAACACAACUCAAAUAUUUAGUUCAUUCAAAUAUAAAAGAUAUAAAUGAAGGUAAUAAAGAUUGCAGCUGAAAAAUGUGUAAACUCUCAAAAUCAAGAUACACAUAUUGAAGACAUCUACGGGAAAGCAUAGUGGCAUCAUUUAUGAUUGCCUUGAAGUAAUAAAAAUAGCCGUACUAGCCCACAAAGCAAGUAAUGGAGAUAUACAUGAGGAAACACUAAGAAAUUUGCUAAAAGCUAGACACAUUAUAAUAAUCCUGGCAAUGCAAGAACCGCUUUGCGUGCAGCUACCACUCUCCUAAAAUAUUUCAAGGGAUAUUCUAAACAGUUUUAGCCUUCUCUUACAAAAUAAGAUAACAGUUCAUCAUCUUUUAUCCUUAAUAAAAUUCCAACUGCAAAAUACGUCAAAGUUUUUAGCCAUUUUUCACUCUAUUUAUGUUCUAAAAAAUGGAAUGAGUCAUUCCAAUCACAUGUGUAAUGGGAAAAAAUAAAGAUAUUGGAUAAAGAUAAACACCAAAAAUUGUCAGCUGAUUAUUUUCCUGAUAAUAGAACAUCCUAUACCUGAAUAUUACAAGACUAAAGUGCCCUUUAGCCCAGCUUCUGCAACAGCUCCUCUACCACAUAAGCAGAGGCCAAGCAAAUGGAAAAUAAAAUCUUAGAGCUUCUGGCUGGAUUAGGGGCCUAAACCAGCUUCUCGUUCCCAAAAACAGAAGCUCCAUAUCGGAGCUUCUCCUUCUGGCUUUAGCAUGAAGCUGUUGCAAGGAUUAUUAUGAAAAAGUUGUAAUAUCUUCUCGAACAGCUCUUUUGAAACAGCAUUUCGACAGAAGCUCCAGCACCAAAUAGGCACUGAGAGAAAGAAAUGCAAGGAGCUGGCAAAAAAGGAUCAGCUAAAAUAAGAUAAUACGACUUAGGAGCGAAAGACAACAAAAAAAGAAAAACAAUGUUGAAGAGUUUCAGUAUCAAGGGCCUAACCUCUGCAAAGUCAUUCAUCUGAAGGAAUUCAUUCUCCCCAGCAUCAUUAAACUCAUCUUCACCACCAUUUUCCACCAUAAGAGGAAGACCAUCUACCUCUUCGUCCCACUCCUCCUCAACAAAUGGUGCCCCAUACUGAGCCCCAUUCUGUGGGCCUGACCCGCUCUUCUGAAAGAUCCUGCAUACGACGUACGAAUCCUAAAAACACACAAACCCAAAUGAUUAUUAGUAUGACUGUAUGAGUAAUAACAAGAAACGAAACUCAAAAUCAACUUACAAUACUUUAGUUACUCACUCUUUGCAUGAAAGCUAAAAUUAAUCAUAAGGACCUACAAAUCAAAAUGAAAACCAUCGAAUUUUAUCUAAAGCAUAAAAACAGCCUGCGCCCGAUCAUAAAUUUGCAAAGCUAUUUAUGACACAUCAAACAAUGCCCUUACUUGAUAGUUAUGGACAGUUGACUUAGUACUACUUGAUCUCAGCAAAUAGGUUUCAGAAACUUAUAAUUUUUGCCUAUUUAGGUUUUGUAGAUCACAUUCGACGAUUCAGAUUUUGAUUUCAGAGUCUCAAGGAUUGAAAUUCACACGUGUAAAAAGUAUGUCAGUUACAAUCAGGUCAGAGAAUCCCUACACAGAACUAAUAGCUCUAUCGACCAAAUCCAUAAACUCAUGAUAAGCAAAACACCUCCUUUUGAAAUUACUAGAUCCUAUACCUGAGAAAUCCCUGCUUGAGCGAGCUCCUCGCCCUCGAUGCGGUACUCAUGCAUAACCCAAUUAGUUCUCUCGCCGCGCGGCGCUCGACCUGCGUGGAAAACUAGGGUUUUCUUCAUGCCGACGACGCGGGAUCCACGGCGAACCUCGCGGUCCUUCCCGGUGGUCUUCCAAUACCCCUGCGGCGUGGCCCGGUUCGUGCGCGCCUUGUUCGCGUGCUUGCGAUCAAGGGGGCUGAAGAAGUACCACUCCACGUCGCGGCUCCGGAUCCGCGACCUCGUGGGCAGGUCCCAUGGCUCGCACUUGUACAGGUCGACCUCGGCGAUCGCGUCGACGCGGAGGGGCCGCCCCAGGAUCUUCCUCCUAAGGUAGUAGCUCACGAGCUCCUCAUCCGUGGGGUGGAACCGGAACCCGGGCGCAAGGAGCGCCGAGGGAGGCGGCGGAGUCGAGGAUGACGAGGGGCCCCGGGUGUUCAUUCAGGGUUUCGAGAGGCGUCGUUCCAAGGGGAAUCAGAGACGAAAUUUUGGAGAUAGGGAGCUAGGUUUGAUCAAGAGGAUCGAGAACCCUAAUUGUUGGAUUUAGGGUCCAUUUUUCGAUUUGGUGGCGGAGAAGGGGACGAGGGUUUCGCUUUAGAAGAGGAGGAGAGAGACGAAGAAUACGAGGAGAGAGAGAAGACGCUGCGCUUAUUUAUUUAUUUAUUUAUUAUUUUCUAAUUUUUAUUUUUUAAGCGAAAAUUGGACGGACACCAUUCAACUACAGGGAAUUUUCAAACGCUCCCCUUAAUUUUACAUUUUGUACUAAUAUCUCAUUAAUGUUAGAUUUUUCAAUUGUGUCUGAUUCUAAUCAACUUAUUUAAUUAAAUAUCUUUAAUAUUAUUUAAUUAUGUUUUAGCAAAAUAAAAAUAAAAUAAUCAAUAACUGAUACUAAUAUCAUCAAAUUUAGUACAAUUUUUAGCUUAGAAAACUAAAAUUAAUUAGAUUAAAUUAAAAUUAUUAGAUUUGCUAAAAAAAUAAAUUAACAAUUAAUAACUGUUAAUUUUCGACUGAAAAGUGAAAACCCCCUCGAAUAAUAGAGUCGGGAAGGACCAUCUCACAGUUUCCAAUAAUUAAGGGGUCUCGGUACAUUUUCAAUACUAAAUUAAUUAAAUUCUAGUCAAAAAUUUCCCUUACCACUUUACCAGUUCCUUUACUGUACGAGGUUUGAGGAAACUUUCUAUGCGACUGAUAUAUCCACCGUCCGAUGUCCUAAGAUAGAGCGUCUUCAUUGGUCCACACAUGGACGGUUCGGAUGCAUUUUAGAUUUUGACAUCAAAGGUGGAUCUGACAGUCGCAUAGUAACUACCGUGCGAGUGUUUAGAUCGUCUACCACGCUCUUGGAGCCGUGCGGGGAGAUAAUCCACCGUUCAAUCGGUCUCCGUUAAACCUCUACCGCAUAAAAAUAAAUAAAUAGCGUCAAAACUCGUGGUCUAUUGAUGUACUGCACGUGUCCGCAUGCGUAACUCUCCGAAGAGUAUUGAGAAUGGUUUAUAAAAAGUAACAAGCAAUAAAUAAAAAAGUGUUUGGUUUGGCAACAACUACUACUUUGGGGAGUUUGUAUAAUUGUAUACAUAUAAUUAUUUUUAACGAUGGAUUUUUGAAUCGUACAGUUUAAUUUAAAAUAUUUUAAGUAUUUAUUACAUAAAUUUUACAAAUUUUUUAAUAUUAUUUAUUUAGUAAUCAAGAUGACAUAAAAUUAAUGAUUAAAAAUAAAAAUCUCAUUAAAACUUAAUAUAUAAUAUUAAAAUUAUAGAUCAAAUAUAUUAAUCUUAUUUUUAUAUAUAGUAUAAAAUUUUUUUAUGAGAACAGGUGAACUUUCGUGCUUCCAAACGCACUGCAAGUAGGCUCAUAUUAUAUUUGCUAAUACAGAAUAAUAUUUUUGAUUACCUAUAGUCAUACUAUUAAUUAAUUUAUUUAAUUAAUUUUAGAUAAUGUUAUCAAAAAUUUCAACAUCUUUUUAGAAAAAAUAGAGAGAGCUAGAGUAUCAGUUAGAGAGAGAGAGAGCAUAAUUAAAAAAAUAGAAAGAAAAAUAUAGUCGAAAUUAGAGAGAGUGAGAGAGUUGAAAUUUUAGAGAGAAAAAUAAGUUUAGAGAGAGAUAUAAGGUUAGAGUGUAAAGAAAAAUAAUAUUAAUUAGCCGGCAGGUAAAAAGAAAGAAAGAGAUUAGAUAUAUUAUGAUUAUCCCAAUUAAUUAAUAUGAGGAUACCCAUCAUCCCUUAAGGAAAUGAGAUUAGUACUUUGGGGUGAAUCAUAUUUCCAAAUGAAUCCAAUAUUAUCGACUAGAUUACUUAGUGCAUUUAGCCAAACACCGUCAUAUUUUUUUAUUCUCAUUAGAUUACUAGAAAUUUUUAAAAAAUAGCGCGAACCAAACCCGCCCAUAUAGAUAAGUUAUAAGUUAUGUGGUUAUCCAUCUUACACGUAUAAGUUAAUUAAAAUUUUUUAUAUUAUCAACUACAAAAAUUGAUUUUUUUGAGAAAGAACUACAAAAAUUGUAUUAAUGGUAGUUGACCUCUAUAGUAGCAUCCGCACGGUUUGGUCGUUAGGAACUUUCCCGUGAAAGCUGUGUAAUAACAAAAAAGGGCAAAAAAUCUAUGUUCAUAGGAUUUUGAAAAUUCGUUUCCUACCCAUUCUAAGUAGCAACUUCAAAAUUAGUGAUGGCAACGAGCGGAACACGAGCUAGUUAAGACCACGAGUUGACUCAUUAAAGUAUCGAAUCGAAAAAUUCAGCUGGUAUUCGGCUUGUUUAUUAACGAGCUGAACACGUGCCGAACAGAAAGUGGUUCACGAAUAAUAAGUUAAAAAAAUUAUGAAGAAUACGUAUAAAAAAUAAAUUUAUAAAAUUUUUAUUUAUUUGACUUUGAUCUAAUAAUUGAAAUUUUAUAUAUAAAUGAUAUUUUUAUAAUUAAAUCAGAUUUUAUAUUUCGGUUAAGAUAAAAAUCAAAUAAUAUAUAUAUAUAUAUAUAUUCCGAACUAUUAUCGAGUCGAAAAUAAGUCGGGAAACGAGGGAGUUGAUCUCAACUCGUGUUCAACUUAUUUAUUGAAGAAACGAUUUGAUCUCGAGCUACAUCCGAGCAGGCUCGCAAACAACAAAUUU
rnacentral:lncRNA from 1 species